UUUUUUUUUUUUUUUUUUUGUGAGAUUACAUCUUAGACUAAAAAUUAUGAAAUUCUAAAUUCACAAAUUUCAUCUUAUGAACCUAGGUGAUAUACUUUUUCCAACACGAUUGAAGGCACUUCUAAGUCCCUUCUCUUUCCCUCAAGAUGACACUUGACUACAAGGAGAAAAACACCAGAUAGUAUACACGUGUUUCUUUUUAAAUGUUUAUCCACCCGCUUACUGCUACUCAUACAAAUCAGUCUUCACGGUGCAUGCUUGUCCGCUUGUUUCAGACUUCAGAGGCUUCCAACUCGUGGAAAGUUGAAUUGGUUGCAUUCACUUUGAGGAGUUCGUACUUGUAUUGUGAACAAUGAUCGGUUUUAAUGCUAGGAUCCAACUUCUGUUGCCUCCUACUGUUCCUCUCUCUCUCUCUCUCUCUCUCUCUCUCUCUCUCUCUCUCUCUCUCUCUCUCUCUCUCUCAAUAGUUACACGUCUUACCAACCUCGGCCUUGACAAAACAACACCAAAUUGACUGAUGCAUCCAUCAGAAUCACUGCGCUGAGGAAAAAGGUAAAUAUAAAAGAAACCAAUAUGCAAAAGGGAACAUUAAAGAGACCAUCCAAAACAAACCAAAGCCCCUUGAGCUAUUUUGGGCACUACAUUUUUAACACGCAAAUGAGUUUCACACACUAUUUUUUUUCUUUGAUCAUACAGAUAUCUGUUUAAUUCUUAUUUGUAAAUCGAAUAAAACAAAAGAUAAUCGGAGGACAAAAAUAAUGAGUUUCAGAAAAUGGAAAAAUAUGCAGAAAUCAGUUUACUAUUAAAAAUUCACCUAUCCAAAAUUUUCUUCUAUAUAUGUAGUGAAGUUUCAGCUUCUUUCUCCUAGCCUUCAAACCCUUCACUCCAAUCCCAUGAAAGUUAACAGCAAACCAUCCUUCAGGUGACUGCCAUCACUUAACUCUCUUGCAGUUCUUUCUUCUUCACCCAAUAGAAGAAACCCAUGCCCUUUCUAAAACCCAACUGAGAGAUUUUCCAUUUUUAUGUUCACAUCUUUCAAAACAAAAUUCCCACUUUUCAACUUGUGAAAAAAAAAGCAAGCUUGCAUGUAAGCACUUAUUUCCCAAAUUGGCUUACUCUUCAAUUCCCUUCAAUUUCUUUGCUUGCAUUCCACUGAACAAGUACUAAAAUUUAGAGGCAUAUUUUACUUAUAAGCCCUUGUCAUCCAACACAUAAAAAAGAUGGAACCUUUUCAUCCUUCUCUCACCUUUCCCUUCUCCUACACCUUCAACACCACUACUAGUGCACUUGGUGGUGGCAUUGCUGAAAAUAUAGCCACAUCAUGUCCUAAUCCAUGGAUGGAUGCUAGGAUAUGGUGCAAGCUCCCCCAUCGGCUCCUCGAUCGUGUCAUCGCCUUUCUCCCACCGCCUGCCUUUUUUCGCUCUCGAUGUGUCUGCAAGAGGUGGUAUGCUCUCUUGUUCUCCAACACCUUUCUUCAGCUCUACCUCGAAGUAUCUCAGCGCCGCCAUUGGUUCCUGUUCUUCAAGAACAAGAGCCUCAGGGGAAGCUACAUAUACAGGAACAACAUUGGAGGAAGCAACGGUGACAGCAACAGGGGUGGUACUAAUUGUGAAGGUUAUCUUUUUGAUCCUUAUGAACUUUCAUGGUAUCGCCUUUCGUUCGCUCUACUUCCCUCCGGCUUCUCCCCAGCUUCAUCUUCCGGCGGUUUAAUCUGUUGGGUUUCGGAUGAGGCUGGCCCGAAAACUCUCAUUCUAUGCAACCCAAUUGUUGGUUCUAUGUCUCCAUUGCCUCCAACUCUAAGACCAAGGCUCUUGCCUUCCAUAGGGUUGAGUGUCAACCCUACAUCCAUUGAUGUAACUGUUGCUGGAGACGACUUGAUCUCUCCAUACGCUGUGAAAAACUUGACUGCCGAGAGCUUCCAUAUCGACGCAGGCGGGUUUUUUUCGCUGUGGGGAAUCAAUUCUUCCCUCCCAAAACUCUGUAAUUUCGAAUCAGGUCAAAUGGUUAAUGUUCGAGGAAGAUUCUACUGCAUGAACUACGGCCCUUACAGUGUCUUAGCCUAUGAUGUGGCAGCAAACAAUUGUUGGACGAUUGAGGCCCCCAUGAGAAGGGCCCUGAGAUCUCCAACCUUGAUGGAGAGCGGUGGGAAGCUGCUUUUAGUUUCUGCAGUUGAGAAGAGCAAGCUCAACGUGCCGAAAAGCUUGAGGAUUUGGGGGUUGCAGGCUUGUGGAACAACUUGGGUUGAGAUGGAGAGGAUGCCGCAGCAGCUCUAUGUGCAAUUUGAUGACCUGGAGAAUGGGAAUGGGUACCGUUGUGUUGGACAUGGAGAGUUCAUCACCAUCAUGAUUCUGGGUUCCGACAAGGCGUUGCUGUUCGAUAUGUCCAGGAAGAGGUGGCAGUGGAUUCCUCCGUGCCCUUACGUUAAUGCUGGGGUUGAUGGGGACUUGCAUGGCUUUGCUUAUGAACCCCGGCUCGCUACGCCGGUCACUGGGCUGCUUGAUCAGCUCACUGCAAUUCCUUUUCAGGCUUUCAGUGCUUAGGAGGGUUCAAGUUGCAAUGUGAUCUAAAUAUGUAGCCGUAGGAAAGUGGCAGUGAUGUCGGUGUUAGUAGGUUUAGUCCAACCUACUGAGGAGCUACUUGUUAUAUUUGAAGUUAAUCUGCUAUGUAUUUUGUCGUUCUCUUCUACCUGGUGUAUGAAACAGGAGAUAGUUCGCAUAACUAUUGUGAUAAACGUAAUAAUAUUUCCUGGAAUUAACUACAAGAUUGAAAACGGCUAAACCGCCUAUUGGACCGAUUAUAAUAAUAUGGUAUCGAACACUUCAUUUCUGAAAGUCGAAGCUAGGGCUUUCCGCUUAAAACUGGAGAGGAAUACCACUUUAGGUAAAGGGGAAUGUUUUAAAAGCUUAUCCUUCCGAGAUCUGUCAUAUUUUUCCAUUCUUAAGCUGCUGUUUUAACCGUUAAUCAAAUCAUCAAACAAGUUUUCGAAUGAUGAAACAAAGGAUUAGUUGACAACAAAAACUGCCAGUCAGUCCAUACUAGAUAUUCUUACUCUAUUAUCAGGGAAUGGGGGUAUAUACGCGACGAGUGAGACAUUCACAUGGAGAUUACACGGUUCUCUUAAAUCCGAAACUCAUGACUUUGCAUUAAACCCGAAACUCAUGAUUUCCUUAAGAACAAGCAUGAAGCGUGCGGAGCAUACAAAUCAAUCCCUUCCUCCUUUAACACAUGUUGAAUUUUACAAUUCCACAAGCAAAGUAACAUUCAUAAAUGGUUUCUUAUCAAUCACAGAUACGAGGAUUUCGAACAGUAUACCAUAAAAGGUACAAGUUCAAAUUAAAAUCAAAUGAAAGAACCUAGCUUAAGCUUUCUUAUGUUCGUAUGUUCGUACAUAAGCACAAAUUUAAGGGAAAAAAAAAACAAGAAAACAAAGGGUUAGUAUAUGAUGAAGAGAUCAAGAGACUUGAUAUUGUAUAUUCUCAAAAAUUUCGGGACUAAUGUGUUUGCCUGCCAAGUUGGGGUCUUCCAGUUAUUCGUCACCCACCUCCAUCCCCAAACUAAAGCUGAAAAUUUUUCUACCACUCAAAAAAGCUGCAACACUGGAUGGCCUUCAUAAAGUCGAUGAAACUUCCUUUAUAUACACUUCCAAAUAGGGUGGAUCAUAGGGUUGCAAUUUUUGACAUUCAACUCUAUUCAUUAGACUCGUCGUUAAGUCUGACCUUACAAAUAAGGUGCCCUUCCAUCUCCUGAUGGAUCGUAUCCCUUCUUGACAUUCAACUCGAUAUUCCAAUGUAUCAUUUCAGUCUAACCUGGAGAAUGAGAUGGACAUCCCUCUUGAAGAUGGACCGUAGCUCCUCAUUAGCUUCCAUGCCAAUUCUCCUGUUUCAGAAGCAUGUAUUUCAAUUCAAAUUGGCUCGUGUUGAAAGCAAAAGCAGUGAUUCCAAUAUGCUAGGACUUCAGUAUUUACCCUAUUUUAUUGCCCUUCUUUCCUACAAGAAUCUUGCGUUGACUUAAUUUGUUCGUGAUAAGAUGUUGUUCAAUCCGAAGAGAGCCAUCUCGCAACUCCUUCCAGUCCAUCAACCGAUGUUCAAUAGUGUAUGGGAUUUCCUAAACAAGCAGAAAUUGCCAUUACUGAAGAUCCUCAAAUUGCUUAUAAAUUCAGACCUUGGGAAUGAAAAUAUAAUCAGAUAGAAAUGAUAGCCUCAAAGUACCUCGAAACUGAAGAUAUACCUGAUGCACAUGGUCUAACAACCUUUCUCGGACAACUUCUAAUGAUAUAUUCUUCAUAACUUCCUCAGUCAUGAUGAAUGGAUCUUCAUCCCAAGACCGUUUAACGGCCUAAACAUAAAAAAACCACUGAAGAACUGAGAUGUGGGAUAUAGUGGACACCAGUAACAUUCGCUAGAAAGAUGAGCAGAUACAUGUAAACCAGACAUAUCUUGAAAAUUCUUUCCAACCAAAACAUAAAUCUAAAGAAGGCCUUCGUAAUAGAAUAUUUUUGACAGGUAAAUGUCACAGGAAAUGAUGACAAUGAAGGCAAUACUAAAAUGCUCACAUGCCUGAUCCAUCAAAUAUUGAGCAAGAUCUUUCACUCCAGAGCCCUUCAGACCAGAAAUCAUGAAACGCCUACAAGGUUAAAGAAAGAAAUAGAUCGUCAGAUAUACUUUUAAGAACCCUGGCGAAAAGAGAAAACACACCAUCUUUGAUUUUGUAAAAGGAAACACACCUUUCAUAACCAGGAAGAUCUUUGAAUUCCUCAGCAACCUUUAACAAGUCUUUCUUCUUCUCAACUAAAUCAACCUUGUUCAUACAUAAAAUUCGCUUUUGCACUGGGUGUGGUAGUGCUCCCAUACGCUUGAUCAAUCCUAUAACCCUUACAUCAGGCCUAUAUGGAUGGAAAUACAAGAACCGGGUGAUUAGGGACCAAACACUGAUGAAAUUUAGAAAAAAUUGUUAACAAACUUGAGUGGCUGAAAUAAUGCAGGGAAUGAGGAUAAUGGCUGAAAUAAAAAAAAAAUGCACUAUUAUCAAAAGCGAUGAACAUUUGCCCAAAUGGAAUCCACCUGCCAUAUAUAUCUAGCUCUGAUGCCUAUGUUUGUUUCAUGCAUAUUUAGAACCAUAACACUUGUGAGCUAUUGUAAAAUAUGGCCAUCUAAUAGCUUGCUAGGAUAGGUUUCCUUAGAGUCAACCAUGGGAUAACUUGAAGAAAAAAAAAAAAAAAAGUUACAGGGUAUCAUAUGGAAUGAAUAACUAACCUGGUAAGAUGCCUAUGGACGUCAAAUAUAACUAUGAGCACAUCGUAUAAAGUAACUGAACUCCAAGCACUUUCUACGCGAACCUUGAAAUCCUUGUAAGGACAUCCCUUGUUGCUUAAUGUAAGACCUGGAGUAUCAAAGAAACACUGCAUAGGCACACAUGAAGACAGUCAAUAAAUAGCUCAAAACAUCGAUAAACAACUGCAAGAUAUGUCAUACACCACAAUUUCUGUGCUCCAGUCUGUGGGGAGAAAACAUAAUAAUAACAUGUCUACACAUAAGUAAUCGACGAGAAUAAUAUGCAAAGACAACCCAUCACCAUUACCUUUCCUGUAUCAAACACACUCAUCACUAUAUGAAAGUAAGUGUCGCAUGCUCAUCACAUUUUUGUUGUACCAUAAUUUCAUAAACAAAGAACUAGGAUAAAGAAAUGAAUUGCAUAUUGUAAUUCGAAUAAUUUUCAGAGCUCAUUAGGACAUAAUAUAACUUAAUCAAAGCAUUCCCAGUCCAGAAAACCUGGUCGAUUAUAAGCUAAAACAAGAAACAUACAAUUUGUGUGUCUCCUUUUGUCAUAACUCCUAAUACUUCAUGAGUAGUGGUGUUUGUCUUCCGUGAAACAGCGGAAACCUUCGUCCCAACCUAUAAGAAAUGCAGAAACAUGUUAUAAAUCUGCACAAUCUGUCACCAGAAAGGUUCUGGUUACAACAAAAGCCAGUAAAAAGUAUACAAUCCUCUGAUAUGGUAAACUUUUUUUAAAAAGAAUAUUACCACAAAAUCCAACAAAUUACAUAGUUUACGAACAAAGUAUAAUCUCCCAAGCCAGUACAUAUCUCACAUAGGGGGAUUUCAAAGCUUCUUCAUUUGUUUCCCUCCAAAGAAAUUUUUGUUGGGACAACUUCAGACAUAUUAAGAAGCUCAUGCCUGCUUUGGCCUCAAGAACUAUUUGAUAUCUAUCUGAGUAAAGUGCAGUGACCAUGAACCAGCUAUUGAUAUCGCUUUCAGACAAAUUAGGCAGAUUGUACCAUAUGCAUGGUGAAUAUAACAUAAUACUGAGCAACACAGACGAACCCUAGUUGCCAUAAAAUAUUAAACCAUGACCAGCUAGGCAAAUGAAAGAAUCCACAACACCAAAUUUACCCAAACCCUUGUCCAACGAAACAAUCAAAAGCUUCCAACACUUCAUUAUAGUCAUCCUAUAGGACUAGCGUAUACCCUACUGAAAACCCCAUCACAAAGUCAUCUUCUUUUUUUCGGGAAAUGAAUCGCCAAAUCGUCAAACAAACUGUUAAACUACUUAGCAGUUCAAACCAAAUCAUAAACCACAGUAACACAGUCAUCAUUUAAUAUUAUCAUUAACUAAACCAACACCAUAUCCAACAGUUAAUUAAACCUCCCCCCUCUUUUUCUCCCUCUCUCUUCUAAAUUAAAUACGUUUAAACCAUAAAAUCCAAAAUAACAAACCAUAUAAUUAGUCAGAGCAGACUUUCCCGCAUUCGGAGCACCAAUUAUCCCUACAGACAGCGCCUUUUGGUCCUCCUCCUUCACCAUUUCCUCCUCAUCCCCUGAUUCCUCAUCAUCUGCGCGCUCCAAUGCUGCCUCGAGAAGCGCCUUAGCGAGCACUCUACUCUUUUGCUCCUCCUCUUCCUCCAAACGCUUCAAUUUCUUCUUCUGGGCGUCCACCCCGAUCGAUUUAUCAGCUUUUGAUCUGUACUUGUUGUCCCAAGUCGGCUUCUGAGGAGUUUUGGGCUUGGAAUCCGAACCAACGGAUGGUAUGGCGUAAUGGGUACUGUCAAAAACCGAGUCCGAACCAUUUUCGGGGUCUGAGAAAGAUGGGUUGUGACCGGAGUCGUCCUCUUGCGGCUGAGCGGCGUAGAACCGGUGGAACAAGGAGGCUGGGUUUAAAGGGGUUUUGGUGGGUUUUGAAGAGAGGGUUCUCAGAACUCUUAGAGCUUUCAUCUCAGCUGCUAGAUACCAAGCAUCGAGAGAGAGAGAGAGAGAGAGAGAGAGAGAGAGAUUGGCUUUGUGUGCGUGGGCGGGCUGUUGGGGUUUUAGGGGUUUAGGCUUGAGGCUUCGUCUUGUCACUCUAUAUUGCUACGAACAAGUGUUUCUAUUUUUAUUUUUUUAUUUUUUAUUUUUUAUUUCUAUGGUCGAAUUUUUUUUUUGGUUCAUUUCUCUCUCUUUCUUAUAACUAGCCUUCAUUAAGCGUGUAAAAGACCUUUUUUGAAUUACGACGAUCUAUGCACGACUUACACGUUUUAAAUGUAUUUAUAUUCGUAAAUUGACAAAAUGAAAGUCAAAUGAAUAAUAUGAGAUCAUACUAUAAGAAAUCCUUCAUAAACCAAUUAAAGCAGCUGAAUUCACAUAAUAAAAUCGAUCUCUAGGCGCUUUGUUGCCCUCUUGGCAGACUAUGACCAAUUCCAGAUCAUAAGGGGAGAAGAUUCAGAGAAGGAAAUUUGAAUCCAAUCGUCAGGACUAAAUACAACUCCAUGAAUGAGCAAAGAAACAUUUUUCUCAGGUCUUUGCUAGACAAAUGAGCAAGAAUUUACAUUAAGAAUAGAUAAAAUAAUAUUCAAUAAACAAUUGAUUAAAUCACAUUAUUACUAGUCUAUUGUGAAGCUAAGUCCACCCCUAGUGUAGAUAAUGUCGUUUGUCAAAAAAAAAAAAAUUUUGAUAACUAAUUUAAUCACAUUAUUAUCCGCGUGCGAAAUAUCUUUUUAUAUACCAGCAUUAAAUGCCUCUUAAGAUGUUUUGAACGUGUUUAAAAAUAGAGAAAAUAAUAUUGAAUGAACAACUGAUUGAAUCACAUUAUUGUUAGAUCAUUGUGAGGCUAAGCCCUCUGUAAAACGCGUGCAGAAGACAUUUUUUGAAUUACAGCGUGCUACACACGACUUACACGUUUUAAAUGUAUUUAUAUGCUUAAAUUGACAAAAGAAAAGUCAAAUAUUUAAAGUAAAUGAAUAAUCUUACAUCACGCUAGAAGAAACCCCUCAUAAACCAGUUAAAGCAUCUAAAUCCACAUAAUAAAAUCGGUCUCCAUAGAAUUUACAUUAAGAAUAGAGAAAAUAAUAUUUAAUAAACAACUGAUUGAAUCACACUAUUGUUAGCCCAUUGUAAGGCUAAGCACACCCCCGCCCUUUUAAUGUAGAUAAUAUCGUAUGUUAAAAAAAAAAUUUAUUUGACAACUAAUUUAAUGUUAAAAUAAACAAUUGAUUGAAUCACACUAUUGCUAGCCAUUGUGAGGCUAAGCUUAUUCCCAUCCUCUUUAGUAUAGAUAAUAUCGUUUGUUAAAAAAAAAACAAUCAUUUGACAAUUAAUUUAAUCACAUUAUUAUCCGCAUGGAAAUACAUUUUUUAUAACCGAUGAAUCACAUUAUUAUCCAUGUGGGAAAGACAUUUUUUUUAUAACCGACAUUACACGCCUCUUAAGAUGUUUUGAACGUAUUUAAAAAUACAUAAAAUAAUAUUUCAUGAACAUCUGAUUGAAUUACAUUAUUGCUAGCUUAUUGUAUGAUCCUACUUUUUUUUUUUAAAAAGUUGUACUAAUUUAUCACUGGCGCUACGUGCCUCUUAAGAUGUUUUGAACACAACAUUCAUGAUUUUCCUUAUUUUUUAUUAUAUUUUUCUUUCCUUCACGUGGUGGGCACCAUUAACUUUCACUCAUCCUUCCAUUUUUUUAUUCUUUUCUCUCUUCCCACUUAUAUUUAUAUUAUAUUUUAUAAUGACCAAAUUACCAAAUUACCCAUACAUUAUUUAAUAUAUUAUAUUAGGCUGCUUUUGAAUUUAUUUGGUUGAGGGGCAAUUUUAUUCUAAUAUCUUUGUCGAAGCCGCGACACCAAAUCAGAACUAUUCACUGCCCUAUUCGUUUUAUAUAUAAUAGAUUAGUAUUUUUUUUAUUAAAAGAACCAGUUUGUGGUUUCGCUUCGGCAGAAUUACAACUACUUUAAAAUCCAAGGCCCCAGGUGUUAUUCUACCAUGACGAGGUGGAUUUUGGUAUGCCGGGAACACAACUUGAUCCACUAAAUAUCAUAAUACAAUGAUUGAAUUUUUUUUUUUUUCAAAUAUCCAAUUACUUGUACUAUAACAGUUGAUGUACCUGACUAUUCCCAGCACAUUGAAAAAUUUAUCCUUGGAUGAUGCAGCCAAAAAUAUAAUGGCAUAAGAAAGUCAUAACUAAAAGUUCAAAAGCCCUAUAAUAACAUCAUUAUUCAUAAAUAAUACCAAGUUACUAACCACAUUUGAAAUAUUAGUCAACUGAAGAAUAUUGUCGAUGAACAAAAUGGAAUCCUUUAAAUAUCCCUAAUCCUAAAAAGUUUGCAACAAAAUCUAUGGGGAGUAUGAAAAAGAAUAUGAAAGUUACAUUAUAUCUUGACAUUUUUGCUCUUCUACUUCACGUUCUUGCAAAGAAUACAACACGAAUCUACGACUGGUUAGUCCGGUAAACCGCCCUUCACUUCGAAUAAACUCUGCAGGACAUGGAGCGUGCAUCGGCAUGAGAUUCCCAGGUCCAUACGCCAGCAUGAGAUUCCAAAGGCGCAAACACUGUCAUCGUCGUCCCAUUGCUGCUAUUUGAUCUAAAAUGCCAUUCGACCAGCAAGCCUGCCCUCCAUAAUCCUUCUGUCUAUGGCAGCAUCAAUUGAACUCAUCUGAAAAAGAAAACCGCAAUGAGAUCAUCAGAGAGGGACCGUGUGCAUGAUUCACUUGGUUAAGCCAGACAAAAUGGAUUGGUCCUAUGAUCUAACCGAAGAGAUACCAAACUUUAUGAAAGAAUCUGACCUGGCCAAGUCUGGUUUCACCGUUCAAUGAUAAAAUAAUGUUGCUACAAUUAACAAUAAAAUUGUUGGUCUUGCCAUUGUUUCACUCGAACCCCCACACCGCAAAAGAAAGCGUGGGGAGAGUGAACAACAGAUAAAUCUAAAUUUUAAAUGAGCAAAUAUAUACAUUCCAUAAUUAACUGAGUACGAUGCUAGAUAGGAGAAUCCUUGAGGCCAUAGAAGCAAGCUUGUCAAAAUUGUAAUCACUAACUAACAGCAAAAUUAUUGUAAAUACCUACUUGAACCUUUUGAUGCAGUUGCGUGGAAACCGGAGAAUGGCAGUAUAAACAAAACAGCAUGCCCAUCAACCAAUUGGGUUGGAAAGCAGAAAGACAGAUGAUUGAAGGUUCACAUGUUCUUUGUUAAUUUGUUUCGUUUCAAAAGUAAAAGUUCAAAUUCAUACAGUAAAUACCUCUCUAAUCAGGAAACAAUUGGUAAACAACCCAAUCUGAAAAGCCUGAACAUAAAGCCUACCUAGCUGGUUAGAGCAAUGCAACUCCGUAAAUUAAAGAGGUAGUAUGACUUACCUGGCUAGUUUCAUCAUGCACCUGAUACUUUGCCAAUGACAUUCUUCUUUCCUCCUGCAAAUAAAAUUAACCAAUUUAACAAGUUAGCAACAAGUUCCUAACAAAAAACAAGUUAGCAACAACGAACAAGACUAGCAAAGUGGAAAAAUAAUCAUUUAGGAAAAUUAAGAACGACUUACCAUGGACAUAGCCUCAUCAUCCCAAACUAGAUACACCUCAUUAGCAGCUGGCUGGGGAGCAGGAGCUUUGUUUGCAAUUACAGGGGGUGGUCCAAUUGAUGGACCACCAGUGUUCGGACCAGAUGCAUAAGAGUGUGAAUUAACACCUGUAGUAAUUAAAUGAAAAGGAUACGUCAGAUUCACAAGCCUUGCACAUAUGAAAUCAACAAUCCAAAGGCAUCAUCAACAUGGAGAGUUAAGCAAUGUGGGAGGUAUUCAUUAUUGCAGCAGGAAAAUAAAUAAGGGUUAGCAUACCGGAACAAUUACUAGAAGGAACAUAAAAGAUGCCUUUGUAAUAUUCAAACAUUUAAGAUAACAGAGCCAAAACUAGCCGUUGAUAGCAUAUCCAAAUUUGAAGUGACUAAAACAGAACUCUCUACAAGGAUCUCAAAAAGCAACUUGAAUGCUAAAGAACAAAAGAAAAUCUGAGGCAUCUACAACUUAUUUUAUCAGACAUGAGGGAUAAGUAGAAGUUAAAGCAAGAAGACAGCUCUGACACCAUACUGCUAUCAUGCACGCAAAGGAAAAAAAACAUAUUUUUGAAUUUUUUGACUUUAAACGAGUCGAACUCUUCCAACACUAAAAUAAUCUUCAGUUUUGAAAUUUUCGAAAUGCAGACAGUUUGAAUUGCUUUUAAACGAUAAAACAAUAGUAGAAAAACAAUAACUAAACGAGCAAUUAUAUAAAUCAAUAAUAAGAAAUCAAAACUGAGGCACUUAGAUAACUACUUGUUUGGAAAGCUUUAGCACCUUGAUAAGCAUCUGUUGAGCCUUUAACUUCAGCUGGAGAACUAAAGGGAACACUGAUUGAAAGCAAAGGAGGAGAAAAGGGAGAACUUUGUGUUGGUACAUUAUUUAUACCAACAACAGGAAACAGGGGUUGUGAUACAGGAGCAGGAGGCAUGGAUGUAGUAAGCCCAGGAGGAGCUAUAUGUGGAGGCAGAGGUCCGGGGAUUGUUGUUGAUGGUAGAGGUGGCCUCCCAUUCUGCACAGGGAACAAUGGUUGCUGCACAUAACCCAAUGAGGAAGGAGGAGGUACUGAGACUGAUGGAGGCUGUGGAUACCAUGGCUGGGGACGAGGUGGAACUUGCCAACCAUUCGGAGGCACUCGAACUGCAGAACUGUACCUGGAGUGAACAAAAACCAAAAGAAACAAACAGAUAAGUUGUUUAUGUAAAUGCUAAUUAUGUACUGCAGACAACAUAAUUUUAAAAUUUCACAAAGCUGGUUAGAGAGGAUAUGCAAGAAACCUGACAGAAAACAUACAUUGGCCGCAUUGCACCCAAAGGUGGUUGGGGAGGAUAUGCAAUCCCCAUCGAACCUGGCACCAUACCACCAACAAACUGGGUUGUUGGGAUGUCUACUUUAGCUACUUUUGAUGGACCAUCUUCAUCUGCAUAUAAAUAGAGAUAUUUAGAAAAUAAACUUACUAUACAAGAUUAAUACUAUAACUGCAAAAGAAGCCAUAAACUACUCAAAAUGAUAGGUAUUGUACACUUUUUCUUGGUUUGAUUUGUCUUUAGCUUAUAAAUGAGACGUCACUUUCAAAUUUAUUGCACAGACAAGAUAACACCAUGACAAAACAUGUUAUGCAGAAUUCGUAUGCACAGAUUAGGACAUCCGGAUCCAUGUGAAUGAGUAUUUGCAAAAGUAUACAUAAGCACAACUUGGUUCAACCAAGAACACAUGAGAAUUUGAAAAACUAUUACAUGGGCAAAAUACAACCAUCAAACAACUUAUAUUACACGGAUACUGCUAUGAACACUCUGAUGGUAUAUCUAAUUCAAUACAAACAAAGAAGUUCAAUAUCAAUGAGUCCAUCUAUGCAUAGUUGCAUGUACCAGCACAUCCAGGUCAUAAUUUAAUGUGAGUCAAACCCAACGAUAUCAUAAACCAGUUGAAUUUGAGCAUUAAAAUAAAAUAGAAAUUCACAUGUCAUCAAAUACCAAUGAUGUUAACAUAACAUUAAAAUAAAAUAUCAAAAAUUGUCUGGAUAAACAUCAAUAUUUGUAUGGAUCCUUUACCUUCCUCUCCAUAAUGUGCAGCCAAAACGUGAGGUGGGAUUCCUUGCAUCCCAUAUAUUUCAAUAUCCGUCGACUCCCUGUCAGCCUUCGCAUUGGGAACCCUAUAAAAUAGAGUUUUAACAGUUUGAAAAUCAGUAGAAUGAAAUUAUGAUAAGGAAUUAUUUGAGGCACAACUUAUAUAUAGUCAACAUUGUUUAACCCUACUCUAUAAUAGUUCAUGAAAAAGAUCCAGUGAGAUAGUGUAACUACAAACAAUUAGUAACUAUAACCGUCUAUGACAAACUUAUUAUGUUCCAGUUAGAAAAAUUGAACCAUGGCUUUUGAUUAUGUUUUUUUCUUAUUAGAAAAAUGGAAGACAGGUAACAGUUCAAGUAGAAAUAUAUUGACAGUUACAUUUUGGUCCUAACUCCUAAUACAGUAGACAAAGUUUAAGUUUAACUUCAUCAUCAGCAUAUAUUCAUAUCCAUUACAGAACUACCUACGGGCAUAAAAACCCUCUUAAACUUAUACGGGUAUAAGCAAGAAAAUUUAAAAGCUUUAACCAUAUUAAGAUCCUCCCAAUUUCUUUCCUUAGCAAAGCACUUUCACCCAAGCUCCAAAAUUUUCUACAAGUUGCCAAAGCUUACUAUCAUUAAAAUUGAAUUUAACAAAAUCAAAAAUUCGAUAAAUAAAUAUCAUAAAUUUACACAGCAAAAACAAAAACUCAUCAAUAUCAUAUUCUAAAAUAACAAAUUCAGCGACGAAACAAAAAGAAAAAGAAUUAGGGUUUUUGACAAUUGGGGGAAAAGGUAUAGAAAGCCAUACUUGGUGACGCUCUCUUUGUGGACCUGGAGGACGUGAAUGGCCAUGCCGCCGGCGGUGGAGAGCUUCUUGUGGCAGACAUGGCACUUAAAAUGCUUGGCUUUCUGGUGCUGCACCAGUAUCUUCUCAUCGUCGAACUCUCUAUCGCAGUAGUAACACCACACCUUCGACGCCACUCUCUUCUUCUUCUUUCCCAUAUUUCCCUUCUUCCCCCUCUACCCUCCUUCUGCAACCCUUCUUCUUCCUCCUCUGGUUUUUCUCCUGCUUGUCUUCCUCUCUCUCUCUCUCUCUCUCUCUCUCUCUCUCUGUAUGAGCCUUCGGUUUUGGUAUUUGGGUUUUUGUUUUGGGGUUUUUUCUCCCUGUGAUCUGUGAUUUGUUGAAUUUCAUGUAUUUGUAUUUAUUGUUUAUAAAUUUUUAUUUUUACCGAUUCAGUAAUUGGCUAGGGCUUUUUCCAAUUGGUUUUAGUAGACUAGAAAUAAAUAUAAAUUUAUAAGGCUGGACACAUAUUGGGUUUACCCGAGUUGAGGGCCAACUCACUUCUUGACCAGCGUAGUGUCAUUAAUUUACGUAUUAUGUUAUAUGACAACGUGAUAGUCACACUCAAAUUUACUGAAACGCAUGUUGUCUCAUGAGAGUGUAAUUCAUCAAUUUUCUUUCCUUUGGACGAAAAGUUUGUUACUUGAUAAAGUUUAGACCUGAAAUUACUUAAUCAAACCGCCAUUCGCAAUUGAUCUCAUCUAAUUAUGUUGCGAUUUAAUAACUCUCUUUCAAUAAGAUAUAGGACAUGUUACUUACCGGGAAUUGGUAUUCAUGGGUAUCAUUCUCAUUCCCGACAUAUCUUGCAUUUACUGACACACAUGACAUGCCCUGAACGUGACUUUCCAUGAUCUUUUACACAUACAACCCAUCUCAGUUAGUUCCAUCCAAAAUGUUUGACAAUUGCCAUGAGUUAAGAAAAAAAUGUAAGAGUACCAUUUUCCUCCAACACUCAGAUUUAACUGAAAGACAAAGGGUGAUUGAGUACAUCUAUAGUUGCUAGUAAAAUUACAACCAGAAAGAAGCUUGUGAUAACAUCGUCUCAGGUUCAAUAGCAGCUGGCAAAGACGAAAGUAAGCGUACAUGUAUCAAAUGGAUUCUUAACCAAUAUCUAGCCUGCAGACUGCAGCAUUUAAAUUUAAGUUCUUCGUUCUUCCUACAGUGGAAACGGGGAAGCAGCAUAUCCUACUCUUCUUUCUUGGAGGAUUGGGAAGAACCAUCAGUAUCACCUUUUAACUUGCUUACACUAGCUUCGGCUUCAGCAAGAAAUGCAGGAUCAGGCUUGUGUUGGUCUGAAGGCUCUUUCAUUGCCAUGUAUAUGUAAAAUGCGAUAACUACGUUGACAGAUAUAACAGCAAGGAAUCCACUCAACAACGUGAGUGAAUAGGGAGACAUGUCGCUUACACCUGCUUCAAAUGAAUAACCACCUUGCUCAGAGAACCAAAAAGGAAAACUGAGGCAAGAAACUUUAACAGAAAACAACUAGUAACCCCAUUCCCAAAUCCUAGCUAAAAAAAUGUUGAUCCAGUUAUCAUAUACUUCUCCAAUAAGGCAAGUCGUGAGAUCAAGUCCUAAGAUUGUUGACCACAGACAUUCACUCACAAGAUUGUGAUAAGGGCAUGCCUUCUCUGUAAUUUUGUUAUAUGCACGCAAGGGAUUAUGUUCUCUCUUUAAGUUUCCUACAACAGUAGUGCCUUAGACAAGAUUAUCCACGUUCGGAAAUCUAACUUCUAACAGUUGGCACUAGUUAUACUUGACGAUAGGAUGCCAUCUUCAUCUUAUAAAUCACAUUCACUGUAGCAAUAAUGUAAUUCGCAAAAACAAUAUAGAUCCUAAUGACAAUUUUUUCACGGAGGUCAUUAGUUGAAAUUUGGAAGCAAGAUUUAGAAAACUUAAUUGAGAUAAAAAUUUCAAUUAUCACAACACUAAGAGUGAGAUGGACAAACUCUAAGGUGCCGUAGGAACUAAAAGCUUUUGUGUCUCUCAGUGUGGUGAGCACUGGGUGUUUCUGAGCAGCGAGGUUUACACCCAUUUGCAUUAGUUCAUCCAAAGUUCCUUUCCCUUAUGCACAAAUUAUUGAAUAAGCCAUCUUCCUAUUAAUGUUAAGGGGUCAACUGAGCAUCUCACCGGUGGGAUUGCAUACCCGGAUCAAAUCAGAAGGUCAUAAGGACUUAAUACAAAAUGCAAUCUAGAAAUGGUCUGCUUAUUUAGAACAAAAAUGGGUAAGCACACAAACAUUAUAAAGAAGAAUACUUAGGCAGAUAAUUGUAUGGCAAUAUAGCACUAAGAAGAAAACCACCGCAUAACUAGUGCAAGCUUUUCUUAGAAUGACUCUAAGAGGGACCUCAAAUAAGAUGCAGUAUUAUGAAAAUGACUUAAAGCAGCACUUGACACAGUAGCCUUACCAGGAAGCAAAUUAUUGUUAAACGCAUAUAAUAUUGCAACAGGAAUUAUCCACAUAAACAUUGACGCAGUAACAAACUUUUGUAUCACGCCUGCCAUUGUUAUCUCCAAUCUACAGAAUUAAGAGGAAAACAAUCAAAACCAACAGAACAAUAAGUCAUAAGCAAACAUUACGGACGGAGAUCUGUAAAAGACUAUCAAGCCAGAUAUGCAACUAAUAGGCCAUAUUCAUAGUUCAUUGGCAUCAUUGGUAGCAUUUAGCUUAUGCACGUGAUUUCGGUACAAAUAACUGAAACCAGUUCCUAUCUGUACCUAAACAUUAUUCUUAAUGAUCGUAAAUUCAUUCAAAUCGAAACUUAAUCAAAUACCCAUGGAAAAGAAAGAAUUGCUGACAUGAGUGAAAUACAAAUUUGAUAUAGAUGUCUCUUUAGGAUACUUCUAUGCAGGGCAUAACUGAAGUAUUAACUACUAGAUUUUUACUGGGAUAUGAGAUACCACUUGAAAGCAAUCCAUAUACAAAUAAAGACCAAAACUUUUCAGUGCAAUCAAUCAAGAAUCAAUCACCAGUGAACAAAGACGCCAAAUUUCAAAACUUUACAUGGUUUCUGAACAGGGUAACACAGUAUGAGACUGACCCAGAAAGAUCUAAGCUCACACAGACAUUUAAUCGAACACUUGGUGUGCGCAUACUCAAACGACAAAAUAAUGAAGCGAGAAAGAGCGUACCCAAGCGACAGCCUUGGAUCGGGAGGUUGAAAGUAAACUAGAUACGAUUUGACUUCCCAACGUUAGCUUGGCUGUUGUGCAAGCCGAUCGAUUCCGCUACAGAAAUUGCAUAUUCUGUGUGAUAUAAAACAGCUCUGAAGUGGAUGUUCGAACAAUUCACUUCGGAAACAAAACCUGUGCUUUGGGUGCUGCAAUUCAGAAGCAAAGCUUCAAAAACAAGAGGCUGCCUGCUGCGCUGGCUAGGUGCGCUACAAUUAUGAGCCGUUGAGAUCUAUCCUACGGUGAGUGGUUUAAACGAGCUCAUGUGUAGAAACGGGUAAAAUAUUAUGAGAUCGUUUGAAACACCCAACUCCGGUAAAAUAUUAUGAGGUCGUUUGGAGUGCUAAUAACCGUCUCAUAAGGAAAUAGCUUAUUUUUUCGCUAUGAUUUGUGUUCAAUUUCAAUAUUUCUAUUGAAACAAAUUUUGUGUCACUUUAUUUUCUAAAACACAAUUUUCAUCUCAUUUUGUCACAUUCUAUCGAAUUUUUAAGAAAACUCAAGUGUGGCCCACCUACAUGCUGACAUGUUUGCCACAUUAGCUUGUCAAAGCUUUGGUUCCACCUCAUCUCUGAUCCUUAUUUCGUCAAAUAAUACUUGGUUACUCAAACAUGAGUAUGAACUCUUAAUAAAAAAAUUUCAAAAUUGUUCAUUGUCAAUUUAUAAAACUUCAUGUUUAUAAUCAAAACCGUUCAAAUUAUAAAUCACCCUAUAAAAAUCAUCUCCACAAAAAAUCUAUGAUUAAAACAAAGUUCUAUGAAUGGUUUUGAUCAUAAACACAAAGUUCUAUGAUUAAAACACUAAGAAUUUUAAGUAAGAACUCAUACUUAUUUUUGAAUACCCAAGUAUUGUUUUAUUUUGUUGGCCGCUUUAUGUGCCUCCAACUCGAACGGCAAACACACAUACUAAGGCCUCGUUUGGCAGCUCGGACUGUACUGACUAUUUCAGUCGGAUAGGAUAAAUAGUCGUCGGAUAGUACUGACUAAAUUAAUCGGGCGUUUGGUAUUGUAUCGGAUUAAUUUAUGCAUCGGAUAAUACGUCGGACUAUAAUAUUUUUUUUUUAAUUCACAAUAAUUGUUGUUAAAAUUAAACAAAACAAAAAAAAAGGAAGAAAAAACAGAAAAAAAAAGAAAAACAGAAGAAUAAAAAACCCAGGACUCUUCUCAGUCGCACCUUUCUUCUUCACCAUCUUCCUUGCGCAUCAAUCCCACCAUCGACGACCGAUUGCAGAGGAGUAGCGGCCAGGGUCGAUAACUCGGAGCCUAUAUUCGAAUUCUUGUCCCCCUCCUCGUCGGAGCCCAGCUCCCUUCCUUAUCGGAGCCCAGAUCCGAGUUGCUACCCCCCUCCUCGUCGGAGCCUAGCUCUCUUUCUCGUCAUCCUUCUCGUCAUCGGAGUCCAGAUCGAAAGAAUUUGAAUCAUCAUCUUCCUCCUUCAACCCAUGGAAUGUUUUGUUGUCAGAAAUCAAAGGCGAACAGAGAGGUGGGGGUGUGUGUACAAAGAAGGAGGAAGGAAGAGAGACAGAAAAAAAAAAUGGCGACGAAGACGAACUUGGAAGUAGACGAGAGAUAGCAGGUGAUGGGACAGAGUUGAAGGAGAGUGCGUGAGAGAGGGACGGAGUGAGCCAGUGUGAGCGAGAGAGAUGCACCCGACUAAUAAUACAGAGGUUUGGGACGGGAUAAACAAACGGGUAUGAAGGGGAUAAAACAAGUGGGGCCGGAUUAAGUAAUACGGUGCUUAUUUAAUACGACGUUCACCAAACAUCCGCUUCGUAUUAUUAGUACUAUCCGGUGGUAUUAUACGGCAUGCCAAACGAGGCCUAAGUACUCUUGUUAUACAUUAACAUAUGAUACUAAGUACUCUUGUUAUAUAUUAACAGAUGAAAUAAUCAUUGCACAUGCCACUUUAUAUAGAAAAUGCUAUCUCCACUUACUUUUGCCACCAAAUUAAUUAAUAGUUUACUUCAAAGACAAAAUCAAUCUUGUGGGAUUUGAACUUUUAUCAUUUUUAGCUUAUUUAUUUGGGAAAUGUGAUUUUCACACUUUUUAUGUAUUUUCUCUUUUUCAUAGUUGUUGGAUUGAAUAAAUAAAAAAAGAAUUAAAGGAUAUACAUAAAAUGAUAAGUCGAGAAAGAGUAAACAGAAAUGCAAAAAACAUUUCCUCUAUAGCUAACAUAAUAAACCUAUGUUUUCUAAAGCCCUUUGAGUUAGAUCAAUUGGUGAGAGAGGGUGAUCUAAUUCGUCAGAGUUAGAAUUGAUUCAGGUUAUCAAUCAACGGUGAUUUUCUCACUCUUUUUUUCCCUUGGUGUUCUCCUCUCAAUUAUGUUUUCCAUUCUUUGUAAUGCCGGCAAGUUGGAAGGUAUACAUUAACAUAAGAAAAACUUGUGAGAUAUGGAGACUAGUUUCCUACUCAACAUUUUAAAAAUGAAUCAUGACAUAUAUCCCAUCUUACUAUGCUAACAUAUGAUUGUUACCUUCAUUCGAAGUUUUUGGAAACUUUCUUGUGGAUGGAAGAAUUAGAUUAUUUUUACUAACACAUUGAGCAUUACCAAAAUUCCGUUAGACUAUAUUACAAGAUGAAAGUACACAAAGAAGCCUAAACACAAAACACGAAAAAGCCCUGAUUACAUUAAAGUAUUUAUGCCCAUUUGGCCAAGAGGGACAUACAUCCAGAGCCCAGAAGAAGUGAGAUAUUAGCCCCAACCUGGAUCCUUAGAUUGCUCUGCAUUCUAGGGUUCAUAAAAUCUGCUGCUAGUAGGUCAACCAGAGCCAUGUAUAUUAGGAUCCCAGCUGAUGCAGAGUUGAAAACUCCUUCCACGAUUAGAGCACUUGGGCUGGUCUCGUUGUAAAUGUUUGAUAUUCCCAUUCCAACACCAAUUCCAAUUGGGGUUGUGAAGGAGAAGAAAAGCACCAUUGCUGCAAUGGCCCUGGACUUAAAGUUGGCCUGCACAGACAAUGGAAACAUCAUUUAUAAAUGUAGAAAUUGUAAUGGAGUUUAACCUAACUCACAACUCUAAAAUGUUUGGGAUUUGGGGAGAGGGGAGAUAUUUUGUCUUGUCACCGGUACAUCAGACAACGAAAUUUGUACAAAGACAAGUGUAUAUAUCUAGUGACAAGACAACUUUACAUAACUGUGGGACUAGGGACCCUCAUUGGUACCCUAAAAAAUGAAUGUUGACUUUCAAAAAAUGCUGAGAUGAACUGAUGUGUGAGGCAUUUUAGUCGUGAUGAAAUGCAGUUGGAUCCUACAAAGGAUAUGCAUGACCUCUGAAUAUGCACCUAGAAGAUUACGUGACAACAUCAACAAGACGACCAUUUGGAGCUCUAAAACCCCACAAAAUGGUACCCAUAUGGCCAUGUGAAAAUCGGUAAAUGGCUAGAACAUCAUAAUAUGUAUCCUACUAUUGAAUAUCACAUUGGAGGGGAAAGGUGGUUUAUAUUUGGCUUUUGAGAAAAUUGGAGUAUUGGUCUCUAAAAAUUGCCUAAUUAGAGUUUUAGUUAUGAAUUAAAAGUUCAUGAGUAUUGAUCCUUUAAUAUGUCAUAAUAAGAAGCAAUGGGUCCUUGUUAGUAAUAGCAUCAGAACUUCUGUCAAAGUAAAUUGUUUAAAGGGGAAUAUAACAUAUGAAAGUUCAUGGACCAAAACUCCAAUUCGACUAAAAUUCAAUAAUCAAUCUAAUUUUUUAUUCCAUAUUUUUAAGAGUAAUGCUAGGUAAACCAAAUUUCUAGACCAAAUUUGCAAAUAUGAUGUCACUAAUAGAAGAAUAAGUAUGCUAACCGACAGUUAAAUAAUAAUCAAAUCAUUAUCAACCACAUCAUUUGGUUUAAAUGUUGGUUUUUCUAACACUACUCCAAUUUUAAUCUACUAAAAGAGAUUCAAAUUUAAGUGUAAGACAACAAGCAUGUUGCCCUAACUAGCUGGUCACCAUUUAUGCAGGGGGAUUAAAUGAUAAUGAAACAAGAAUGUGAUGUUUGAGGAAAUUGAUGAUACCUGAGUUAUGCACCCACCAAGGCCCAUGCCUUCGAAAAAUUGAUGGAAAGUAAGAGCUGCUACAAGAGGUUUGAUUGUCUUGGGACUCUGUGAGGCACCUAAAGAUAUCCCAAUAAUUACUGAAUGAACCAAAAUUCCCAGCUCCAGAACCUAAAAAUUAUUCAUGCAAAGAAUUUACAUAAUUAAAUCAGAAAAAUUGCAUAGAUAAAAAUAAACACUUGUAAAUUAGAAAACUGCCCUUAACAUUUCAAAAUUUUCAUUAUGUAAAACUCACAAGUAUUUUUCUUAUUAAUUAUAAAAAAUAUUGAGUAAAAAAUCAAAUUUUUAGAAUGCUAAGACCAAACACAAUCAUGGGCUAAAGGCCAAAUUACCCCAUUUAUUCCCCCAAACCCCCCCCCCCCAAACCCAACCCAAUCCAAGCCAAAUCUUUGGGCUAAAUGCUAAAAGCUAAAUCGAAGCCAAAUUCCCUCCAAGAUUUAGUUCACAUACGUGUGGACUCACCUAAGCCUAGCCCAAUCUCGGCCCGGUCACGAGCUCUACUCGCACCACGUAAGCUGAAGCCUUCAGCGCCUGACAGGAUGAGACCCAUUGUCAGGGCCGUUGUCGAAUCAUGAGCCCAAUGGCUCUUUUGUUCAUCUGAUGGCUGACAUUUUUGGAUCGUUGGAUCAACGAUCUAGAUUUCAAAUUUUGUUUUUUAAAAAAUGUUUUUUUAAAAUACAUUGAAUCGAACAGCUGAGAUCGACUAUAAUCAAAUCUAAUGGUAAAAAAAAAUAAAUAAAUAAAUCUAACGAUCCAAAUUUAAAUCCAAUGGCUAAAAUAAUUAAAAAAAAUUAUUUAACUCAAAAUUCAUCAAAAAACUCUAUAAAUACCUAUGUAUUUGUUCAAACAUCUACACAAAACUCACUUUUCUCCUACAAUUCUUCCCAUUUCUAUAAAUACCUAUGUGUGUGCUUCAUCUUUAUCAUGUGUUUUGUAUGUGCUUCACAUGUGUUUUGUAUGUGCUUCACAUGUGUUCUAUGUGUCUUGUGUGUUUUAUGUAUUUUGUGUUUAUACAUCUCUAUCAUGAUUUUCAUAUUCUUUCAUAGUAUUUCAUGAGUUUCAUGUAUCGAUUUAGUGAUUUUUCAAUAUUUAUUGGAAUUUAAAUAUUUUUAGAUUAAAAUGUUCAUAAAAUUAAUUUACGAUAGUCUACAUAAUUUUUUUUUAAAAAGUAAAUUUAAGAAAAAAAAAUAGCCUAAGUUCAUUUUUUUAAUAAUCCCGGACUAAAAUUUUAGGCUAGAAGGGUUGGAGCAGAAAAGUUGUUUCUAGACUAAAAGCUAAAUUUUCCGGACUAAAAAACUUGGCUUUUAGCCCAAAGAUUGAAGAUGGUCUAAUAAUAAUUAUCUUAAAUUAAAUUAAACACCCCAAAAAUAGUUAAUAUAAAAGAAAUUGAUAAAACUGGAGAGUAAAAAACAGUGAAAACACUGACCAACCCAACAAAAUGUAGCACCAAAAAAUUGAACCAUUAACUUGAACAUCCAAACCAACUCUACCUGUGAUAUCACUCGAUGCCUAACAAUUUCGAAAGAAGAAAUCGAAUCCUCUGGUGCAAUCGCGCCAGAACCGUGAGCAUGGCCGUGUGUGGCAUGUGUGUGAACAUGCACAUGACCCUCGUGCAACCCAUUCAUCUCUUCAUCCUCCUUCACUGGCAGUGCUUUGGUGAAAUCUGAUCUUCUAUAGUAGCUGGUGGCAAAGGUGUCGAUCAUCAUCGUCCCAAUCGCCGAAAGCAUGGCAAUGAAGCCGGUAAACGGGAAGCUGCCCCACGGGGUUUCGCUGAGGCAAGGGCUUCUCAAGCUCUCAAAAGCAUCCGGUAGCACGUGGAUGAACCCUGUUGCUAGAAUCACACCGGCCGCAAAAGCCUUGAUCACGAAGAAGAUGUCGUUUUCGGGGUUUAGAGCCGGAAUUUUCUUGCCCAACAUUGGAAGGGAGACACCAAGGAAACUUGCUAUGAGGAUUGAACUUAUCGCAAGUAGCUUGAACUUGAGGACUUUGAACUUGUCAUGGUCUAGGGUUUCCGAAUUGCAUUCACAUUCGGCGGAAACCGAGAUGGGGACAAAAAGAAGGAGAAGGAGAAGAGGAAGAGGAAGUGUGUGAGUUGGAGUGAGCUUUUUCAUGGCUAUCAGUGAGAGGGGGGAGGGGAAGAAAGAGUGGGAGAGAAGGUUUUGAAAUGGGGUUGUGGAGUGGUGAGCUGAAGCUCACUUUAUAUAUGAGUUGGAGAAUUUGGGAAAAGCAAAGGCAUUAAGGUAAAAAUGGCGACAUGGAAAGGGAAGUGGGGUUGGCAACUGUAUGGUUGGUGAAGCCAAAUGACGACAUUAUGUGUUAAUGCAACAGUUUAAAGGAGGUUGGAGGAUUUUAAUUAGGUUUUAAACUUUAGAUCACUAUCUAAACUGUCACUUAUGACCACUGACUGGGACUCGGGCACUUAAGUAUUUAUUAGGGAUGGCAGAAAAAAGCCCUCAAUGUUCCAUCUUUGAAUGGAAUUAGCCAGCCAUUGCAUGAGCAUGGUUGUUGGUCAAUACUUAGGAAAAGGAAUUGACUUGUCGUGUGGGGCACAUCAAGCAACGGUUUUGAUUUGAACAAAAAAGGUUAAUUCUGGUCAUGUGUUUUGGGUCUUGACUCAUAGUCAUGUUUCAGCAUCAGCAAGUAACAUAGAUUAGGAUAUAUGAUUGUCGCACCGUCAUAUUGUAUUAUUAAUUUAUUUAUGUUAUAAUAUAUAUUAAUUUAUUUGUUAAGACGUAUCAAUCAUAUUAUACAAGUAACAGUGUGGUAGCUAGUAAAAAAUUAAUAUUUAAGAUGACAAUUUCAUAUAUUGCACUCACACGUACCAAAAUUUAUCAGAAAGGACAAAAAAAUUCUUUACAUUUUUAGUCUUCUUCUAAGAAAGUACUGUUCAAUACGGUAAAGAGCUUUGUUUUAGGAGGUCUGCCUUUGAAAUCAAGUGACAUACUGUAAAACGUUGACAAUUUGUAAACCCCGAAUCGCAUCGAUGAAACAUUGUAGAUGCCACUUGCACGUGCAUCAAUGGUUGAUAUCCUGAGCACUGUAGUAUUUCUCCUGUUUCCUAUAUGUUUACGUUGAAGUCGAGUGAUUUUCCAACAUCGAUGGCAACAAUACUACUGAUAUUCCUUAAAAUCAAAACAUUAUAGAGAUAUUUAUUUUUGAAACCAAACAACAAAAUUAUAAAUGCAUGCCAGUUGCAUUUCAACAUUUUUUCAUCCGAAACAAGCUUUAUAGUUUGUAUCAAAUACCAUACGCAAAAAGUACAAUAAAAUAUAGAAAAAGAAUAAGUUCUGCGUUAAAUAUAUAUAUAUAUAUAUAUAUAUAUAUAUAUAUAUGUAUAUAUAUAUAUAUAUGCAAGAAAAAGAAUAAGUUACACGAUUGUCUCUUAUACUUUAUAGGGGUGGGCACAAAACCAAAACACGAAUCAAAUCGAACCGCAUCGAAUGGUUUGGUUUUGUGGUUUCAAAACGGUUUUGGUUUGGAACCGAACCGAAUAGGGGAAAAACGGUUUGGUUUUGGUUAUGGCCCUUUGAAACUGAACCGAAAUCAAAAUCGCAUAACUUUAUUAAAUGUUAAAUUCUAAUUGGUUAUUUCAUUGAAUCCAUACAUUUAGUAUGGAUUCAACCACAUCAUAACAUGGCCACAUGAUCUUUUUCUUUUCUUUCUUCUAGUCGUAGUUUGUACUCUUUCUUUCUUUUACUCAUUUGCUGCUCAACUUCAUUCUUCAUCUAACUCUCUGUCUCUCUCUCUCUCGGCCUCCACUCAAAAAGAUGAAAUCGUACAAGUUAAACCCACAAUUAUUCAAAUGAAACAUGCACACUAAUCAAUCUUAGCCACUAAAUCAAAUAGAUAUAUCUCUAUAGAUAUUUAAAGAUAUAUUGCUUUAGAUAUUCAAAGCAAAUUGUUAAUGGUAGUCAGUUAGAUAUUUGAAACAAACAAUACCUGCUGCUUUAGAUAUUAUUCACAUGCACCGAAUGGCAGUCUGUCAGUUAAAGGUUUGAAACUUGAAUGACACAAAGUAAGUUGAAUGAGUGUAAUAAUGUAUGUUGUAUGCAUACAUGUCUGAUUGUAAUUGAAGCCAUGCUUGAUUGAAUUUUAAUAUUGUAUGCAUGCUUGAACAAUGCAAUAAUAGAAGACAUGCAAAAUGAAAAACAAACAGUAAACGUUGCUCAUAGAAGAGAAUUGAAGUGUAUAUCAAAGGAAAAUGAAAUGAGAUACAACUAGGUAACCAUAAUAGUUUUCUCAAACAAUGAAACCAAACCAAAACCGUACCGAACCAAAUGGUUUGGUUUCAUUUCGGUUUUAGCCUCAAAACUGCAUCGAACCAAACCGCAAAAACUUGCGGUUUUGGUUUUGGUUUCACCCAAAACUGCACCAAACCGAACCACGCCCACCCCUAAUACUUUAUGCGGACAUAAUCGUCCUUGAGAUAUUCAUAACACAUAACUUUGAUCCUUGAGAUUUAAAAUCAAUAGAAGUGGUCACUGAGAUUGUCCACCAUCUAUUAUUUUGGUCCUUCCAUUAAAAAACUCCGUUAAGUGACCCCUAAGCUUUUUAAUGGAAGGACCAAAAUGAUGUAUGGUAGACAAUCCUAUGAACCAAAAGUUAUGUGUUAUGCAAAUCUCAGGGACCAAAAUCAUGUGUUAUGCAAAUCUCAGGGACCAAAGUUAUGUGUUAUACCCUGAACUUAACGGAGUUUUUUUUAACGGAAUGAUCAAAAAUGGACAAUCUUAGGGGCCACUUCUAUUGAUUUUAAAUUUCAGAGAUCAUAGUUAUGUGUUAUGCAAAUCUCAAUGACCAUUUUGAUUAAAAAGCCUUCUUUAUGCUAUAUGUUGGCUACUUUAGACUAUAAAGAGAAAUACAGAACUUCGAAUCAUUCAAUGUCGUUGAACCUCCACCCAUUGUGACCCUGACAACUUUGCCUUAUGCAUAUACUUCACGGGAGGUCCAGAUUUAUUCGUACUUUUUAUUUUUCCUCCCUUCCUCUUCAUUUGAUCAACGUUGUUAUUUUUGGCAUAAAACUCAAAAAUUAAAGCUAGUUGCAAUAAGUUCGAUGCUUAUUUAGGGCACUACUGGCCAUAAAAAGAUUGAACUUAUUACAACUAGCUUGCAUUUGAGAGCUUUGGCUUCUUCGCGAUGCUCGGCGUCGGUACUGCAAGUGCAUUCUGCAGAACAAAAGAGGUUAAAGGGAAAAGAAGAGGAGGAAGAAGAAUGUAAGAAAAAGGAGUGGUAUAGACUGGUCUUUCUGUGGUUGUGAGCAUGUGGCUUAUCAAAGCCUAAUCUAUAUACUGUCUAUUUAUAUAUGUGAGUUCGAGAAUUUGGCCAAAGAAAGGCUGGAGUAAAAAUGACGACAUGUAAUUGAAUUCAGUUUGUGUGGAAGUGAACAAAUGACAAGUGUGCUGUUUGAGCCAAUAUAUUGAUGAUAUUAUGAUAGAGAUGUUAUGCUACAGACAAAGUCGGUAUUGUAAAUUUACGUGAUAUUAUUAAUUUACGUAUUAUAAUAUUGGCCAGCGAUAUACUUGAUAAUUUUAAAACUUAAGGUAUAAUAAUGCGCUACUAGAACAUGAGCGUUAAAUACACAUGAUAGUAUGACCAUUAUACUGAAAAAUUUCAUUGUAGCUAUUUCUUAUUUGAACAAAAGUUUGUGCCAUGCAACAAAAUUUUAGUACACGUCUAGACUAAAUUGUGGUGAACUGAGAAAGCUAAGAUGAAAUGCUCCUUCAUUCUAGCCAAAAAACCUACAACGUUUAAAGGUCCAUGUUGAGUGGAACAUGUAUGUCCACACCAAAUGGAAUAAUACAUUUUUGGAGCUUAGGCUUCAAUGUUCUAGAGCUUCCACCACUUUUUGUUAUGCAUAUACUUCAUGGUGGGUGUCCAUAUUCUACUAGGUUCUCUUCACAUGUUAGGUCUACAAUUUGCCUUCCUUGCUCUUUGUUUUUCAAAAUAGAAUCCAUGACUAUUUUGAGGAUGGAAAAAAAACUCACAUUAGAAGGUUAAGAAAUCUUUCUAGAGCUAUAAAGAAUUGUGUCACUUCCUCUAUUGUUAAUUGGUUUUUCAAUUGAAACUUUAACUCUUUUCACGAUUCACCCUCAUGCAUGUGAAGCUUAACAACAAAACGUGUUCUACGUCGCGCAAUUAAAUUGUCUACCUCCUAAGUUUAAAAUCUUUAUUGUAUAUGAUGGAAAAUAUUCGAUAAUGUAAGUAAUUGUCCCACUCUUAAAAUUAAGAAACAUUUUCCUUUUAAUUUUACUAUUUUAGAUUGUUAUUUUAUGGUAUUGUUCACAUUGCCACAUAUCUUUCCGAAAAGAGAAAUUCUUCCCUGUCCAUCCCAUAUGCAGAAGACUGAUGAGGAUUAAAAACUGACGAAAUCCUGUUGCCAUUCGAUGUCUAUGGUUCACGUUGUCCCUCCUUCCCAGCAUCUCCUUUUUCAGCCUAAAAUCAAAGUAGUAGUUUCCAACAAAAAAUAUAUUUAUAGAAAGCAAUAAUUUGACUGGUUCAGAACAUAAUUCCAAUAUUGUUUGGUUGGUGGUCCUAUAGACUACACAAUACUAUUCCGGAAGGGAAUAUAUUUAGCAACUGGAAUUUUAAUUUUUGGACCAGUUUCAGUCUACCAAUAUCAAUCUAAAAGAUUUAGAACAUACUUUCAAGUAAUGUGUUAAAAAUAAGCUCAUAAACAAAAGUAGAUUCCCCAUUUUGGUUGUACUCCAAUAAAGAUUUUUUGUUGGGGCUUACUUAAGCAGAGCGCUAGAGCAUCUCUAACAGAAACUAUAAAACUAUUAAAACUCAUUUGAAAGAGCAAAUCUAAAAAACUCAUUUCCAAGAGAAUCUAUAAAGAACUCUAUAUAAUAGGGAAGUGAACAAUUGCUCUUUAAAUUUUAUAUAGUCACUAUUCGUAUGAUAAAUGUUAAAAAAAUUAUAAAAUUCAAUUGUGGGUCUCGGAACCAAGGAUAAAAGGAAGAUAGAGAAGCUUUAGAAAAUAAUUGGAUCGGAUUUGAAUUGUUAAUAAUAAAAUAUUCCAAGUUUGUUAAAAUAGAGAGUACUGUUUGGAGAUGAAAAUUUAAACUAAGUUACUAAAAUAGUUUUUUUGACACUGCUCACUCGCUAGUUUAACAAAAAUUUUGAGUUUUCUCUUAGAAAUUCUCUAGUAAUACAAUGCUUUGUCAUUUGCUUGAAAUCUUAGAACUGAUUCUUGGUGCACUUUUGAAAUCCCAAAUGCUGACAAAUAAUACAAUUUAUUGACCCCAAAAGGGAUGCUGACAAAUAAUACAAUUUAUUGACCCCAAAAGGGAAAAAAACAUUUGUUUGCAUACUUUUGUCUUUGAACUUCUAUUUGAACGGAGUAGGAUUCUUUUUUUUUUUUUUUUCCUUCCCUUUCCUUCUCUCCCCUCCUAUUUGAACGGUCACGAUUAACCCACGUUAACAUCUUAUAUUAAUUUUUUUUUUAUAGAAAGAUAAAGACAAGAUAGAGAAUAUGAGAGGAGGGGAUAGAAAGAGGAGAAGAGAGAAUCAUAAUCCUAUUUGAACUUCUACCUUAUUCAUGCCGACAAGAACUUGGCACUUGGAGUAAUUUAGAUCAUGUCAGCAUAGCUAUACAACUUUAGAGCUUAGAGCUUUGUUGAUAAUCAUUUCAUGUUUAGUUUUUUAGUUUUAAUUUUUUUAUUAGAGGUAAUGAGGAAAUAUAUGAGAUAAAUGAUAAUGAAGAAGCUUGUAAGAAGCAAUGCAUGGUCAAGAAAAUCUUUUGUACGACUAAGGCAUGCACACCUCUCUCUCAAUCGGGGUGGGACCAUGGGUAAGAAAGUGGGAGGAUGAAUAUAGAGGACUCUCUUUUUUGCGUCUGGCUGCACAAUCACAUAGUCCAAUGAGUGAAUUUUAAGAAUUCGCGAACAUAGAGGGAUAGAGAUGUGGUAGGUAUGUAUAAAAAAUGAUAAAUAAGAUGAAAACUUAGUACAAAAAAUUGUAACAAUUUUAAAUUGUUUCACUUUCAAAUUUUUGUUUCAUGCAUUCUCUUUCAUUUCUCCUCGUCCCUCCCACCACCAUCCUCAACACUUCUUCACUGCUCUUUUCUCUCACAUACUUUCUUUCAAUCCCGAACACAAAGUAAAAAUUUAAAACUAUGAUUCUCCCCAUUUGGCCAUAAGAGACAUAAAACAUACUCCAAGAAGAAGCGUGAAACUAGCCCCAAUUCGGUGUUUAAGUAUAUUUCACAGCCUUGACUAAUAAGCAAGCACUAAAAGCUUAUUUACAUCGCACUCUUAAUUUACAUAAUAUACAGCAAGCAUCCAUCGUGAUCACCGUCAACAGUUUGCUUUCUUUAGAACAAGCGCAUCACUUUCACGGGAAAAUCUCUUGUCUGCAGUUGCUUUCUCAAUACCCAGUUCAGUUUUUUUUUUUUUUUUUUUUUUUUUAAACGACUUCUUGCUGAAUCGUGAAGAAACGCAUAUCCAAAAUUGUGAAUUUCAGCUGCCGCUAUUGUAAGGAAUGGAGAUUUGAUUGACCAGAUAGCAAACUGUUGGUGAAGAGUGGAGCGUGAGUCAACCUGCCGGCGAGGCUUCUUAGGUUUUUGCUGCUAUUGGUUUAACUCUAGGACUAUGCAGGAUUGGUCUGCCGGAUACCCUGCUAUUGGCACUGCCACCGCUAUCAUCUUAACAUUUAUUUUACAAAAACAUUACUAACAAACAUAAAUUUAUUAUUUUUUAAUGCUAUGGUUUCUCUAUGCAGAUUGUUGAUCUGGCUCAUCUCCCAUUCUACUUUUCCGCAGUGUAUAGUUGCCUAAUGAUUCGUGUCAUAAAAUUUGAGCCCUUACAACCCAAAACCAAAGUGGUCAAAGAUGUAACCAACAAAGAUGGGGAAAAGGGAGGUCGAACACAUUGCCACCCGCUCCUUUAAUUGCGAUGCCAAGCUGUCUAACAAGUCCACGACCAAUUUCGCGUAUCUGCUUAGUAGUUUUAAGUCAGGCCCAAUUUAAAGUAAUUAUAUUGUUAUUUGCUCCUUCAAAUGAUUCCUACUGAACUAUAUGCAUUUGUUAAUUUUCGCCAAAGCAAAACUUGGUUGCACCUUGUUAUAGUAGGUAGGAAUUAUUUGGAGGUCUAGACACAUAAAUGCUUCACAACCUCAACCUAUAGUAGGUAGGAAUUUAUGUGUCUAAACUACCUCAACCUACAUGCUCCACUCACAAAGCUUCAACAUACAAGCUUCAACAAAAGAAAAUUCAAAGAACUUAGCGAAGAAGACUUUGGUGUAUUUAACACAAUACAUUGAAAUGAAGGAAAGCUUAUUUAUUGAUAUCCCCGAUAAGUUACAAAUAUGUACAUAUACAUGAGUCAAAAUAAACAAACAUGAGGGAGCCUUUACAAAGGUUGCUUAGGAGAAGUCUCAGCAGUCGGUAGAGCCCCAGAAAGAGAAGGCACCGGAGGGGGAUCAUUCGGAGCCUCAGUACUGGACAGAACCCUAGAAGGAGGAGGCAUCAGAGGUUGAUCAUUUGGAGCUUCAUUACGCGGUACAGCCCCAGAAGACGAAGGCAAUAAAUGCUUUUGGAACAAACCCACAAAUCUCUGAUGAUCAAGUAAAACCUGACCAUCAGAUUCCUUCAUCUGGUCAAGCUUCCUCUUCAUGUUUGUAGCAUAGUCAUGUGCGAGCCGGUGCAACUGUUUAUUCUCAUGCUUGAGCCCUCUAAUCUCCUGUUUGAGACUCAUCACUUCAGCCGCCAAUGAUUCAACUUUGCGGGUUCGAGCAAAUAGGCGUUGGGCCAUAUUAGACACAGAACCUGCACACUGAACACUGAGAGCCAGAGAAUCCUUAACAGCCAACUCAUCAGACCGUUUGGAAAGUAGUAUGUUAUCUUUGGGAGUGAGAAGGUUCCUGGCCACCACCGCAGCGGUCAUAUCAUUCUUCAUCACGGAAUCCCCAACAGUAAGAGGACCAGUAGGGGAGACGAAGGAUGGGCGCCAUAUGUUGUCUGGAAAAGGCGUGGCUGCCUUUUCAACAAGGUUCAAGUCAAAACGACAGUCGGAGGGGCCAGACAUUUUCAAAGGUGUUGAAGAGAGAAGAGGUCGGACAAAUCAAGAUCUUAGAAGUGCAAGAAUGGAGCUUCUACUGGUGGAGAUUCAAGUGUGCUUUGGAACUUAAUGCUAGCCUCUAUAAAAAUCUGCACUCGACGGAGUUUCAGAAAUCGAAGAGGCGCCUGCUCAGAAAUCGAAGAGGCGUUUGCUUUCUCAAAAGCUGGGCUGCUCAGAGACCACAAUGGUCGAUCUUAGAAAUCGAAAAGGUGUUUGCUUUCUCAAAAGCUGGGCUGCUCAAAGACCACAAAGGCCGAUCUCAGAAAUCGAAGAGGCACUUGCUUUCUCAAAAGUUGGGUUGCUCAGAGACCACGAAGGCCGAUCUCAGAAAUCGAAGAGGCACCUACUUUUCCAGCCUUGUCAGCACCUGUCACACGCACACUCAGCUUUGCGGAAAUUAUGGGCAUUCUGUCGAAGAUUUCUGGUGAAGUAGAAAGCACAUGAAUCUUAUUGUUCAAUCACCCACUUCCCACACGCAACAUUAGCUCAAUGGGUAUCUGAUCACUCAUAUAUUUCAUGCAUUUAUACCAUCCAUUUCUAAAGUCUUUGUGAUAUUUUUGUGUUAAAAUUGUAGCAUUUUACCUUACCUUGUGUUAAUGUGUAGUUAAAUUUGUUUUAGGAUAAAUUUCAAGCAAAAGUGGGGGAGACAAUGAGCAACAGAAAAUAAAUGGGAAGGAAAGCAGGACACAAGAGGAAUAAAGAAAGGAAAAGAAGAAUAAUAAGCAAGGUGGGCAGUGCUGAAGUGGGAAGACACGGAAUGGUGGAAGGAAUAAGAAAAUAAUGAAAUGAGAAAAUGAUGGGCUUGGUGCUUUGAAUUGUCAUUGCCCUUUGGCUAAAGGCAACGGACAAAGAAGAGAAAAACAAAUGGGCACUUCAGAUACAACAUAAAAAAAAGAAGGAAGAAAGCAGAAAGCAUAAAAUCAUGAUGAAUGAUUAACAUACAGCAGCAAAUGCAUGCGGACAGGUUGGAAUUGGAAGAAAAGUCAAAUGAAAAAAAGAAUAAGAGAAAGAAGACUAGCAGACGUGAAUAAGAGGCAGGUUAGAGGCACGGAAAGGAGGGAACAGAAGCAGAAGGCAGAGCAGAGGUCAUAGACACGGGAAUAAGAGGGGCGAGGCGCAGAGAAAGAGGAAGGGACAGAGCAGCAGGAGACAAGGCAUAAAAGAAAAGAAGGCAGGGAGCGACAGAAGAAAAGGGUUGUAUAUUUUCUCAAACUCAUGUUUAACUUUUGGUUUAAUUUGAGAAUAAUGUGUAACUAAUUUUUAGUAGUUAGGGGCUGUUUUGAAGCCCCGAAUAUGAUUGUAAGUUUGUUGUGAUAUUUUGUUUGAAUGACUUUUAUGAAAGGAUGAAAAUUGUUUCACUACUUAUGUCAUUGAUAAAUUCUUUAUGUGUUUCUAUGGAUGCAUACAUAGUGAGCAUAUCUAGGAUUUUAAUGCUAUGAAUAUAUGUAUGCCUGCCCUUAUUGAAUGAGGACCUACAUAUGUUCUAGAGUAGCACAUGUUAAUUGUGGUUAACAUGUGAACCGAUUUCUAGGAUAAGUAAGACAACACCAGUACUUACGAUGCCUUGUGAUGACUCAAACUCUUUUUAUUCUUAAUGAUUUCUACUUGUUAAAUCUAUGAACACGCCAUUCUAGAUUGCAUGCUAGGGACUAAGUUAAGUUGAAAACACCAUUCUCUUAACAUACUACAUAAGAAAGAGUAAUAGGUUGAGUUCUAACAGUGAGCCAACUUGAGCAUCUUCAUCCGGAAAUAAAAGGAAUUUGAAUGAAACAUAACAUGUUUGCAUGAUUAUUUGGUGGUGGAUAACAAUUCCCCUAACUCGUUUUUCUCAAACUUGUGAUCUACUCAAAAUCUGUUUAUGUACUGUUUUUGUAUGAUUUAAUUUAAAUAGCAAAUCAACUCCAAAAAUCCCAAAAAUUUGUGAGACUGUCGUACUGUGUGUCUAGUAUUUGCAUAUAAAAUUUUGUUGAAUUUGGAUAAGUGUAAGUUAGUCUAAUAAUUAUUGUUCGGUGGCUGGUCAGUGGAGACAGCCACCCUGUUUUUGUUACAUUUUAAGUAUUUGGAUAAAACAAUCUUUUGCGGGAAAGACCCUUAUUUUCAUAUGCUACAAUUGACAAAUCUUAGUGUUAAUAAGGAAAAUUAAUAGGAUUAUUGUGUGCUACUUUGUGGUGCGUUAUAAUUACUACCAGUACCACAGAUAACUUUGCCAAAGUUCUCUGACAAAGUUGAGACACGUGAAGCUUGCAACUCCCACUACAUCGCUCUGACCAAGAAGGGUAAAAGAAUAGCAAAGAAACAGCACUAACAAAGUUUAGACACAUAAAUUUUGAAGGUCUAGCUACCAUAUUAUUACCCACAAGGGUAAAGGAACAGUAUCACUACUGGAUAAUUGGAAAGUCUCUGUGUGUCAAUCUCUGUGCUUCGUGGCAAGGUAGACUAGCAAACAUGCCCAACCUUUACUCACAUUCGAGAAAACUCCCAACAAAAUUGCUUGCUUCAAAAUCGAAGAGGCACCGCCCUCCGAAUCUCGAGAGCCAGACUCCCAACAUGAUUACUUUCUCAAAAAUCGAAGAGACACCACUCUCCGAAUCUCGAGAGCCAGACCCCCAGCAUGAUUGCUUCUCAAAAAUCGAAGAGGCAUCGUUCUCCGAAUCUCGAGAGCCAGAUCCUCGACAGAAUUGCUUGUUCGAAAACCGAAGAGGCACCACUUUCCCAACUUCAAAAGCCGGAUCUCCUUGGAUAAAGCUUGUCUGUAAUCUUCACCCGCAACAUCAGCUUUCCAGAUACCACAGACCACUUUUUCAAAGUGCUCUGAUAGAGUUAAAACAUGUGAAACUGGCAGCUCCCACUACCGUGCUAUGACCAAGUAGGGUAAAGGAAUAACAUUACUACUUGUUGUUAGGGAGACUCCUAUAUAUGUCGACUUCCAUCCCCAACGGACAGGCAGACCUGCAAAAAUGCUCAACCCUUCCUCAUAUCUGAGAGGGCACUCCCAACGAAGCCUUUCGAAAUAUUCAGCUUUCUUUCCCCCCGAUAAUACCUCUGCAAACAAGCUAUACUAGAGCUAGAAUAUCUCAUAUCAUCAGGGUUAAAAGCAAGAGUAUCCCAUAUCAUGCUUUUUCCAUGUCUUUUCCUUUGGCCUUGUUCUUACCUGCAAGACAAAGAGAAAGAGAGUAAUCAGUCAGCACUUGGAAUCAGGCUUCCAGUCAGGAACUGACUGCCUGAAACCCCUUACCUGAUUACUUACCUGGCAUUACUCUCGAGUACUCAUCUUCAACAUCUUAUGCUUCCAGGGAAGAUACCGCAUCUGCCUGAGGAACAGAUAGGGCAAGUGAGAAGGAUACAAGGAAGCAUGUGGAGACAAGCGUAACAGCACACGUGCCGAUACAUCCACUACUCUGUCAAAAGCAAAAGUAUCCCAUAUCAGCAGGGUCGAACGUACUAUAGAUUUGAUGGACUUGUUUUGACCCUCAAAUUCUUCAGUCGGCCUUAUACUCUAGAGGAAACCAGAAAACCCUCCAGCCCAGUUCAAGAAUAAGCAUGUGGAAAGUUACUUCUUCAAAAGCAAAAGUAUCCCAUAUCAUCUCUUCUCAUUUUUCUUCUCUUUAUCCUUCAUGCUGCCUGCAAGAUAGGGAGAAUGUGAACAAUCAGCCGGAACUCGAAAUCAAAGUUCUGAUCUGGGACUGAUUGCUUGGAGCUCUGAUUGCUUACCUUGUCUGUCACCUCUUUCAGCAGAUCCCCUAGCUCGGCGACUUGGGGGACUCCUACUACAUGGUUUGUAUUGCGCUUGACCAAGCCUGAAACUACAAGUAAGCUUCAAGUGAAAUUGAUACAUUACGUUGUGCAUCUCCAUCAGUUAAAGAUACCACCCCUGGAUGGAGGAAGAGUAAUUCCAGAGGAGAUGCCACAUCUACCUAUGAGACAGAUAAGGCAAGUCAAGACGAUACCACACUCUGGUACUUAGAAGUUUCGUGACUACGAGAUCAUUCUCCCACAAUAUUUCCUAAUGUCAUUUGUACUAAAUCAUUCACUUGUACUCACUAAAGGAGAGUUUGAACCUAUGUACUUGUGUAAACCCUUCACAAUUAAUGAGAACUCCUCUAAUCCGUGGACGUAGCCAAUCUGGGUGAACCACGUACAUCUUAUGUUUGCUUUCCUAUCUCUAUCCAUUUAUAUACUUAUCCACACUAAUGACCGGAGCAAUCUAGCGAAGAUCACAAAAAGCGAUUGUUUUCGCUACCUAGGAUCUAUCUUGCAAGAGAACGGAGAAUUAGAUGGAGAUCUCAACCAUAGAAUACAAGCUGGAUGGAUGAAGUGUAAGAGUGCAUCCGACGUGUUGUGUGACCGUCGUAGGCCACUGAAGCUCAAGGGAAAAUUUUAUAGGACGGCAAUAAGGCCAGCGAUGUUGUAUGGCACAGAAUGUUGGGCAGUGAAGCAUCAACACGUACACAAAAUGGGUGUAGCGGAGAUGAGGAUGUUUCGGGGGAUUGUGGGCACACGAGAAAGGAUAAGAUUGGGAAUGAGGAUAUCCGAGGUAAAGUAGGAGUAGCCGAAAUUGAAGGAAAGAUGAGAGAAAAUCGGUUACGGUGGUUUCGACAUGUGCAAAUAAGGCCUAGGGGUAGAGGUUCAGGGCCGAAGGGGUAGAGGAAGACCUAGGAAAAUUUUGGAAGAGACCCUAAGAAAAGACUUAGAGUACUUGGAUCUAACGGAGGACAUGACACAAAACCAAGCGCAAUGACGUUCUAGGAUUCAUAUAGCCGACCCCACUUAGUGGGAAAAGGCUUUGUUGUUGUUGUUGUUGUGGUAUGUUAAGUGCUGGCGUGGUAUUAGUGGACCCUGUUACACGUCAGCCCACUCUCUCAAAAACUUGCACACGUGGAAUUUUAUAGUCCACGUAGAGCCAUGUGGACUGACAACAUGGCAAAUUUAAAAUUAAAAAAUUUCUUGAAUCUCUAACCCACUAUUCCCGUCCCACUAACCAAUGCAACCCCACUAUCAUCGAGCAUACUACCAUUCCCAAACCCAGAAUUAAGAAGGAUGAAGUUGGUAACCCUAGCCCCUGUCGCGAAACCUUACUUCUGUCGUGAAACCCUAUCGCGAAACCUUAUUUCCAUCACUUUCUACCCGUCGAUUUCCUAUCGGCGUCGUACCCACUACCUAUAACAAUCCUUAACCCGUGACCCGCAACCCACAAUCCACAACCCAGAACCAACUCCUGAUUGCAACGAUAAUCAAGUGCUUUGAAGUGAAGGAUUCGAAAUCGAAGGCUGAAAGUGACCUGGGAAAUGAGGGAGGAUCUGUUAGAUACAUUUCCAACAUACGGUUAAUGCUUUUUGGUUUCUUUAUUUUGUGUUGUUCGAUAUUGGACUGUUCGAAAAUGUUGGGGAUCUGAAAUUGUGUGUACUUUGUAAUUUUGGAUCUAUAUUUCCUAAUUUUAAAUUGCUUUGUUCGAAAAUGGUGGGGAACUAAAAAUUGUUUGGUGUUAUCGGUUAAUGGAGGACUUUUGUCCUUGUUUAAUCAUGUUGGAAAAAAGUUUGUGGGUUAUAUAUGUUUGGCAGUGCUUUGUUUAUACCUUUAUCUGUGGUAUGAUGCUUUAUUUAUGCCUUUAUCUGGGACACCACAUUGUCAAUUGUGGUGUGUCUUUAUCUGUGAAUUGUUUUGUGGUCCUGGGUCUUGAAGUUUAGGUUUCAUCACUUUAAAAUAGGAAUUUUUUAAGCAGAAAUUAGGGUUUCAUCAAUUUAUAAUAGGGUUUUUUAUGCUGCAAUUUCAGGGAACAAUGAACUAUUCACAAUCAAAAUGUAUCAUAGUGGACAACUCAGUGAAGACUUCUAUGUUGGAGGGAAAGUGGAUUUCUUUGACUACUGUGACAAAGAUUUCAUGUCAUUGCUCGAGGUUGACGAUAUGGUUGAGGAACUGGGAUAUGAGAAUGUCUUCAUGAGUUACCAGUAUAGGAUCCCAGGGAUGGAAAUUCGAAAUGGGAUGAAGCCUUUGAUGACACAUUCAGAUGUUAUCAACAUGUGCAAAUUUGUGCCAAACCACACUCUGAUUGAUGUGUAUAUUGAGAAGAUAACACCUAAAGAAUAUGUCUCUCAAGAGAUGAAGUUUAUGAAGUCAUUUGAAUCAGUUGCUCAGAGUAGGGUGGUUAUUGAAGAACUUGAUGGUGAUAAUGAUGACUAGUGCAAUUUGAUAGAGGAAAGGCCAGUGCAAGUGAAUAGAGGAAAGGGCAAGCUAGCCAUAGAAUAUCCAGUCAAUGGCCUUGCUGGUGAAUAUAGUGUGCCUUCCCAAUGUGUGACUCAAGUUGUUAAAGAAGUGGCUGAUGAAAUGGGUGAUAGAGUAGUUGGUGAAUGAGUGGCCGAUGAAGGGGUGGUUGAUGAAGGGGUAGAUUAAGGGGUUGAUGAAGGAAUGGUUGAUGAAGGGGUAGAUGAUGAAGGAGUGGCCGAUUAAGGGGUUGAUGAAGGGGUAUAUGAUGAAGGAGUGGCCGAUGAAGGGGUGGAGGAUGAAGGAGUGGCUGAUGUGGGUGAUGAAUGAGCGGAAGAAGAAUAUGAGAAUGACAGUGACUUCAUAGAAGAAGAAUUUCCUGUUGAUGAAGAUCAUUUACAAUUUAUGAAGUUUGUAGAUGAUCAUGUGGAUGCACAUGAGGAUGCAGUGUUGGCUAGCAUUAGGGAACAAAAUAACCCAUAAUCUGGGAAGGGAUUUGGGCAAAAAGGGAAGAAUUUGAAGAAAAUAUUGAUGUAGAUCUUGUUGGUGAGCCGGAUUACAAUUCGGAUGGCCUUCAUAGUGUGCAUGAAGAUGAAGACGGUGGUCCAAACAACAGUGAGCAUUAUCCUGAGUUUAAUGAGAAGACUGACAUGAAGAACCCACACUUGUAUUUAGGGUUGAUAUUUAGGGAUGAAGCACAGUUCAAAAAGGCAGUAGUUAUGCACUCUAUGAUAAAUGGGUAUGGGGAUGUCCAUUUUCCACGGAAUGAGAAGUUCAAGGUUGAUGCAGCAUGCAAAGAAGGUUGUCCGUGGCUUGUCAAGUGUGGGAAGAUGCACAAUUCAAACAGCAUGCAGAUAAAGACGAUUUUAAAUCACCACACAUGUGGUAGAUUAUGGAUGAAUAGGAAUAUGAAAUAGUCUUGGCUUACUGAGCAGUACUUGGAUAGGAUCCAACUUAAUCCAACAUGGCAUGUUGAGUCUUUUAUGGACACCAUUCAAGCUGAAUGGAAACACGGUUACUCUAAGAUGAAAGCUUAUAGGGCUAUGCAUGCUGCUAUGAAGAUUAUAGAGGGUAAGCAUUCUGAGCAAUACAUAAAAUUGUGGGAUUUUGGUGAGGAAAUUAAAAAGACAAACCCGGGGAGCACUAUGAAGAUACAGUUGGAUGAAUGAAGGUUUCAAAAGAUGUAUGUGUGUUUGGGUGCAUGCAAGGAAAGUUUCAAGCAUGGAUGCAGACCCUUGAUUAGUUUAGAUGGUUGUCAUUUGAAGUCUCAGCAUAGGGGUCAAUUGUUGGUUGUUGUGGGGAUAGAUCCCAAUGAUGAAACUUGGGUGAUAGCUUAUGCAGUUGUUGAGAUGGAGAACAAAGAUUCCUGGAUUUGGUUCUUGGAGAUUCUGGCCGAGGAUAUUGGGAUUAUAAAUCAACAUCGUUGGACAUUCAUUAGUGACAAGUAGAAGGGUUUAAUUCAUGCAUUCUUGGCGGUUCUUCUCGAUUGUUACCACAUGUUUUGUGUGCGACAUUUGUACACAAACUAUAGAGAACAGUUUAAUGGUAAGGCACUGAAGGAUGCUUUAUGGGCUGUUGCCAAGACCACUAUAAUUCCACACUUUAGAAGAGCUAUGGAGGAGCUUAGAUUGUUGAGCGAAGAUGCAUAUGAUUGGCUCAUGAAGAGACCUGGCAUUCAUUGGAGUAGGUCCCAUUUUCAAACGCAUACCAAGUGUGAAAUGUUGCUGAACAACUUGUGUGAAAGUUUCAAUGCCGUGAUAGUGAAGGCAAGGUCGAAACCAAUUGUAACCAUGUUUCAGAUCAUUCAUACCAUGUUAAUGAGAAAGAUUCAAAUGAGAAGAGACAUUAUGAUGAGACAACCUGGAGAUUUGUGCCCUAAGCUUCAGAAAAAGUUGGAGGUUGCAAAAAUAGAAAGUGGUCGAUGCAUUGCUCAGUGGUCUAGUGGGACUAAAUUCCAAAUGGAUGCUAGAGGAGGUGACCAAUUUGUUGUUGACUUGACUGAGCGUACAUGUUCAUGUCGGGAAUUUGACCUCACUGGUCUUCCAUGCAGCCAUGCCAUUGUUGCUAUUAAUUACAAGCGGGAUAAGCCAGAAGACUAUGUGGAUGUUUGUUAUUCCAAGGUUAUGUACUUGGAAAUAUAUGGACACUUGAUCCAGCCAAUGAAUGUGAUGUCAAUGUGGGAGGUCACUGAAAAUCCACCUAUCCAGCCUCCUCUAUAUACUAGACAACCUGGAAGACCCAAGAACAAGAGAAACAAAGAGGCUGUAGAAAAGGAGAAAGAAGAUAAUCCUACACAAAAUGAGGCUACUAACAUAAGUGGAGAUAUUCCACAGCCACAACAGCUCUCAAGGAAAGGCCAAAGGACCGUCAAAUGUGGAAUAUGUAAAAAAGAGGGCCACAAUACCAGGACUCAUCAUAGGCAUCUUCCUACAAGACAAGAGGUGACACAUAACCUUAUACAAAGUUAUAUGAUUUCUAAGUUGAUUUAAGACUUUAUUAAUCCUGAAAUCCUUUAAUUUGUUUUAGGCAUCAAGUUCUUCACAUGGAGCAUCUAGUAAUCUAGGUGGUGUACCAAGGAAGAGGGGAAGGAAACCUAAGGUAAGCACUGCUUCACUUGUUUUAUUUAGUUAGGGUUUGUAAAUGAAUUUGUGGCCUAUAUUGUGAUAACUUAGGGAUUCUUUUGUAUGCAUUGGAUGUGGAUAUUCUUUUGUGAUAACUUGUGGCCUAUAUUGUUGUUGAUUUGGAUAUUGUUGUAUUGAACAUUGGAUGUAGGCAUCAAGCACGGCUGGAGGUGGAAAUUCAGAGGUUCAAACAGAUGGAAGAGUGAAGAAGAGAAAGACAAGGCAACCAAGAAAGUGAAGUGUUGCCAUACAAGAACAAACUGGGUUUUUUGAUGUUGGAAUUUUUUGCUAGUGGCUAGAAUAUUUUGUGAAUGCUGGCAGCAGCUAGAAACUGUUUUUUUCUUUUGCUUAGCUAGGAACUGCUAUUUUGCUCCCAAUUGGAUUUGUGGCUUAUUAGGAACUGCUAUUUUGCUACUGGCUGGAUAUCCUUUUGGGAACAUGCUAGCUUGUUAGGGUUUUUUUAUGGUUAUAUCCAGUUGAACUCCUAGAUGUUAGCUUUGGUUGCCAAUAUAUGGAACAUGCUUGUUAUUUGGUUACCAAGAAAGUGAAAUAUAUUGCUACUUUAGUUGCCUAUUUGGAUAUUGGAAUACAUUUUUACCUAUUCACUGAUUACUGUGGGAAUAUGCAUUUCUGCAUUUUGGAUUGCAUCUGAUGCAAUUGUUCAUAAUUUAGCCACCAAAACCCAUAAAGAAAUAGGAGUUUAAAAAAAAAAAAUUGGCGGGAAAAUUUUGGCCACAUGGGCACUUUUUGUUGAGUUGGCAUGACGUGGCAGCUGGGUAUCCACGUGUGCAAGUUUUGGAGGGAAUGGGCUGACGUGUAACAGGGUCCACUAAUGACACGUCAACAUUUAACAGAUCAAUGGAUGGAAAAUCUAACGGAGGUAUUAUUUUGAAAUAAAAUGGUACGUGAGGUAUGAAAGUGAAAUGUUUUAAAGUUAUUGUAUGAGGUUGUAAUAGACCUCAAACUUGAAGGGCUACUGUGUAAUUUACCCUUCUUUUUAUUAGUUUUAGGGUUGGGUCUGGCAGAACACUUAGUUUUACGGUCUAGUGGUUAUAAGUAAGGUCUUAGUUUCGAAUUUCGAAAAUGACAAGUUCGCAACUAAUUUAUUCCCUCAUCCCUUAAUGUAAAUAUAUCGUUGUAUAAAAAUAUUAUUAACUAUGAAAUGUUGAACUUAUGCUUUUUUUAAGACGACCCUGCUGAUGCAUAUUUGUACUCCGCACUUCAGUAUCGGGAUACAUUCACAAACUAUAUAAUUCUUUAAGUUUGUUCAUUUGCUCAGAAGAUAGCUCCUGAAGUCCUAAGUUUAUGUUGUGCUUAAACCAAUCAACUGGGGGAAGAGGAACUCCAUACAUUGCUUUCAAUGUCAGCGUUGUUUGGCUUCUUGAGAAGUAGUUGCAAUUAAAACCUCUAUAGUAAUAAACUAAUAAUGUUAGAAUUAAAUUAAUUUUAUAACUAUAAGGAGGCGCAGUAACACAAUUAUUUUUUGAUUUAAUAAUCCUGAAUUAAUUAUGAAUACAAAGUACUGGAGCAUGUUAAUUUCCAAGAUAGAAGAUCAAAGAAAGUAAAUGCAAACACAGUCGAGAAAAUGCAUCAACUCAUUAUAUAGCUUUGGCAUGUAAAAGUAGUUAUCAAAUACAGUGAUAAACUAGUCUUAGCUUUUAAAAAUAAUUGAUCCGACCGAGCAUUAUACAGCUUUGGCACCCACAGUCGAGAACAUGCAUCAACGCGACCACCCAUCGGAAUCAGGCUUUCUUCUUCGGUGGAAAAUGAUUGCUGUUAAUGGAAAGGGAUUUCAUGCAACAACAAGAAAGUAGGGUACAGACAGAAAUUAUACAAAGCAAGGGCAACUGUGUGUGAAACUGUAUAACGCGCUAAACAAGUUCAAUGAAUAGAGCCUACCAUUAUUGCUGUGGACAACCUAGUCAAGAAGAAAGAUCAACUUUACUAUCUCAUUGGAUGAUGGACUGGCAAACUUUUAAAACGCGGUAGAGCUAGGGAAGUUUCAAAUUGCACACCCUGUAACCAAUUUUCGAAGAUACCAAGUUACCAACCUUUUGACUGGCAAUGUGAAAAUUUCACGAUUUUGUACCUUAAUUUGUUCCAUAUUUAUUUGAAUGUCUUGGACAUGUUCAACAGAAUGCGAAGACAGUAUGUAGCAGCUGCAAGGGGACCGUAGCGCAGUUGAUAAAGAGCAUUUACCCAUGCACUUGAGGCCUCGACUUUGAAUCUUCCUGGCCUCCCCCACUAUCGCUUGUAUCAACAAAACCACGACAAGGCCAUUUGAAAAUACCAAUUAAGUUACCGUCUGCGAAGCUGUAUAAUUUUUUUUUACCAAGCCUAAAGUAAACAUGUUUGUAGUACAAUUAUACACUACUGUAACACGUUUAUGGUACAAUGAGUAAAUCCUACCAUAAUUGCCUUGGAUACUAAAGUCAUGAAAAUAAUUUAAAAGCGUGUGGGCACCUACCUGAGUGUGAGGGGACUCGUAAACUUGUAAAAUGGGUUGAGGACUAGGAAUAUGGGGACCUACCUGAGUCCGACGGGACUCGAAAACUUGUAAUGAGUUGAGGACUUGGAAUAUGGGCACCUACAUGAGUCCGACGGGACUCGAAGACUUGUAAACUGGGCUGUUCACACGGAAAUUUCAGCAAAAACACCUUAUAUAUAUGAGUUCCCUUAUUGUGCUCACUAGCCAUCUGCAGAAAAUUGAGAGAACAGUAAAUUUGUAUGAUGGAUGCCCUGUAUGCUAAGUUAUUCAACCCUACCUAUCACCUCAAUAAUUCUCACUAUUUGCUCUUCUUGUUGUUGGUGUCCUUAUAUCUAGACACUGCUAAAGUCUGCUUGGGUGAUGGACUUCCGGGCAUUACUGUGAAGUUGUGCAUGGAUGAAGAGAGACGUGCGCUUCUCAACAUCAAGCAAGAUCUCACCGAUCCCUCUGGCAGGCUUUCUUCUUGGGUAGGCAAUGAUUGUUGUCAAUGGGAAGGGAUUUCAUGCAACUACACCACAGGUCAUGUUGCGAAGCUGGACCUCCGGAAUAAGCAUGAGCCAAAUCCCACUGGUGAUGAUGAAAACUGGGACGAGCUUGCUUAUGAACGUUCGUGCUUAGGUGGUAAGAUAAAUCCUUCUUUGCUUCGCUUGAAACAUUUAAAUUACCUAGAUCUAAGCUCCAACAAUUUUCAAGGUAUUCAAAUUCCUGAGUUCUUCGGACGGCUUGAAAGUUUGAGGUAUCUCAAUAUCUCAUCUGCGUCGUUUGGGGGGGUGAUUCCUUCUUCCCUUGGUAACUUGUCAUACUUGAACUAUCUUGACCUUCGUUCUGAUGUCUCCUUAUUGGAAAUACCUUCCAGAAACUUGAAUUGGCUUUCUCAUCUCUCUUCCCUGAAAUACCUUAAUCUCGGAGGCAUCGACCUUGGCGGCACAAAAGUAAGUUGGAUGCAUGCUGUUAACAUGCUUCCAUCCUUACUAGAGUUGCACUUAUCUUCAUGUCAUAUUGUAAUUGAAAGCCUUCCACUCUCACUGCAAAGGAUCAACUUCACGUCACUUUUGGUCCUUGAUUUGUCAUGGAACCAUAUAAAUAAUUCUUCAUUUCCCAACUGGCUUUUUAAUCUUACUAGCCUCAGAAAACUUGAUCUACGCUCGAAUUCCUUCAGUGGUCCUUUUCCAAGUGAACUUGCAGGCCUCAAAUCUUUAGAAUAUCUUGAUUUAUCUAACAUGGGAUUUAAAGGUCUCAUUCCCAAGGGCAUUGGAAAUAUGUGCAAGCUAAAGAUCUUAAAUCUUAUGGAGAACUUACUUGAUGGGGGGAUGGAAGCGUUUUUGAGGAGUUUCUCAGAUUGUCCGAAUAAUACAUUAGAGUCACUGGAUUUGUCUUUUAAUUCGUUCACAAGCCAAUUGCCGGCCUCCUUAGGAAUAUUAAAAAAUCUGCGAUAUCUUAACCUUGGGAACAACUACUUUUGGGGCUCAAUUCCUAAAUCUAUUGGAAACUUGUCGUUGUUGAAAACAUUGGACCUGUCUUAUAAUCAUAUGAACGGGUCCAUUCCAGAAAGUUUGGGACAACUCUCCGAGCUGGUUGAUCUUUAUCUGACUGCAAAUUCAUGGGCAGGCAUGCUAACAGAAUCCCAUAUGUUAAAUCUCACCAGAUUAAAAUAUGUUUCGAUAUACAGCGAGGAGCCCAUGUCCCUCAUUUUCAACGUGUCUUCUGAGUGGGUUCCUCCUUUCAAGCUCCACACAAUUCUGAUUAACUACUGUCGAGUAGGCCCUGCCUUUUCUGUUUGGCUUCAGUCUCAAACUGAGCUCAUUGAUGUCACCAUUAGUAGAGCCGGAUUCUCAGAUUCCAUACCAGAGGAGUGGUUCAUGAAGAUAUCUUCGCAAGUUAAAUCUCUGGAUUUAUCUUACAACCAAUUCAAGGGAAGGCUUCCAUUCCAACUGAAGUUUCCAGAGUUAAAAUCUAUAAAUUUGGGUCAUAACCAGUUUGAUGGUCUACUACCACUUUGGUCCACUAAUGCGACCGUCAUUGAUCUUGAAAGCAAUUUGUUAUCCGGGAAAAUUCCCUCAAACAUUGACGAAUUGAUGCCCAAUUUGCGACAAUUGUGUCUGUCGGAGAAUCAUUUGACAGGUAUUAUUCCACCCUCUAUAUGCAAAAUCCACCAUCUGAUGGUCCUGUCGCUAAGAAGAAAUUGGUUAUAUGGAGAAUUCCCUCAUGAGUGGAGUUUGUGGAGCAUAAUAACUGUUGUCGAUGUUGCAUACAACAAUCUCUCUGGUAAUGUUCCGACUUCAGUGGGUAUCCCAAGGUCUCUUCAAGUUUUAAAGAUGAACGACAACAAGUUCACCGGCGAAAUUCCUUUUUCCUUGAACAAUUGUUCUACUUUGAGGCGGCUUGAUCUGGGAGGGAACAAAUUCACGGGAAACCUGCCCUUAUGGAUUGGAUCAAAUGUAUCAACAUUGCAACUGUUACAAUUGGGAUCCAAUCUUUUGAGCGGACAGAUUCCCCAACAAUUCUGCAGUCUCAUCUACCUUCACAUCCUCGACCUUGGUCACAACAACAUUUCAGGUAGCAUUCCAAAGUGUUUGAAUAAUAUGACUUCUCUAGUGGAUUCUGCUUCUCUAGGCGGUAAUGAUUCCAGUGAAUGGUACCUCUAUCGAUAUAUAUAUGAUGCGCAAACAACAGUCACAUCAAAAGGGAGAGAACUCGACUAUGGACGCAGCCAAAUGCAAUAUGUAAAGAGCGUUGAUCUUUCGUCAAAUAAUUUACAAGGUGAAAUCCCCGAAGAAGUAAGCAGUCUCAUUGAAUUGGGCACCUUGAACUUGUCGAUGAACCAAUUAAGUGGAAAGAUUCCCUCGAAGAUUGGAAACUUGCGUUUGCUGGAAAAUCUUGAUCUCUCGCUCAACCACCUUUCAGGACAUAUUCCUCAAAGCCUUUCUUCUCUUACCUUCCUGUCUCACUUGAACUUGUCCUACAACAACUUGACAGGAAGAAUUCCUACAGGCAACCAGCUACAAACGCUGGUUGACAAAUCCAUUUACGAGGGAAAUCCAUCAUUGUGCGGUGCUCCUCUUUCAACUUCUUGCCCUGGAGAUGAGACGCCUACAAGACAACCUUUGCAUGUAGAAGACAACACAGAUAAAGAAGAAAGGCUUUGGUUGUAUGUCAGUGUGAUACUCGGCUUUGUCGUAGGCUUCUGGGGAGUUUGUGGCACUUUAAUAAUAAAGAAGUCAUGGAGGUAUGCCUAUUUUAGAUUCUUCGACAACAUCAAAGACAAGGCAGCCCUAGCAAUUGCACUCAAAGCGGCUCGUUGGAGAAGGAGAUGGGAAAAAUAAAAUGAAAUGUUGGUAGUAAUCGAUGCCUAGCUGUUAUUGUAAUGUAAUGUAUGAUACUACUAUGCAAUAAAAUAAAUCAUGGACUUCCGAUAUGCAUGCAUGAAAAGUGAUUUCAUGUCACUUACGGAACAUUAUUUUCUCAUGUUGUUUAGGAUAUGAAAUUCCAAGCAUAUAUAUUUUAGUUAAGAGAAAGCUAGGUAGAUUAAUUCUUUAGAUCAAAUUUGCAAGAGAUUUUUUAAUGUGCUUGGAACAUGGGCACAUACGCCAUUAUAUAAAUGAAGGGACACUUGAAAAAAAAACUUUCUUCCACUUGUAUAAUAACAUAUGAUGUACUGCCCGUGUUUCACACACAUUAAAAAAAUCUCUUCAAUUUGAAAACCAUGUGAUGCGACUUCCUAGCUUACCCUUUGUUGAAAUCACUUUCAUAAUGAUAGACAAGAAUGCGCGAGCGCUUCUCAUCUUUUAAUUAAAAUCUUCAGUGUUUUUUGUUGGAAAUUAGUUUUAAGUUUUAUUGAGUUUACUUGUAGGCCAAGGAGUAGAGUUCCUUGUCCAUUAAGUUUCAAAUUUUUUUGCUCGUCUUGUCCAGCGAGGAAAGGCGACAGCGUCGGGGUGAGUCUUGAUGCAAAGAGGCUUAGAGGAUGGGAAUUUAUUUGUUACAACAAUUAAAGAGUUGGACCGCUACAAUGUUGUAUUUUCUUCGCAACAUGGUAUGAAUUACUGGCAAGGUUUUUCAUGCUUAUGAACAAAAAACUAUCUGCCCAACCUUGCGUUACACCCUUUGCUCAUGUCCACGAAAGGAAGGUAUUACUUUCUUAUAACGGCACUCCUGCAUUUUCAAAUUUCUCAAGGGUAUCAAUGGAAAAUGAUGGUUUGUUGCAUACAAUAACAGCAACAUAGAGUUAUAGACAUUCUGAACACAAUCAAUGAAAGUGGAAAUUGGCAUUGUUUGAACACAUACUAUGGCCAAAAGAUCACUUACUGGCGAGAAUUUGAGUUUAGGAGAAACUAGCAAGAGUGCCCGCGCGAUGCCGCGGGUUUUGAAACUGUACAAAAUAUGUAGAAAGUUAUAAUGUGUAUAUAUACUAUUUGCAUACAUGUGAAAUCUAUUUACAAUCGUAAAAAAAGAUUUCAACUUCGACAUAACAAAAAUAGUUUGCGGAAAUCUUAGCAAGAAACAACUAUAUACAUGAAGGGAUCCCCUAUAAUGAAUAGUUUGCACAACCCUAGAUGAUAUAGCAAGAAAUGAAGAACAAAACCUUUCCUUCUGUAAAAAUGAAAGUAGUAAUAACAACAUUAGUUCUAGACAUAAUUAAAGUGUCGAAUAUAGGAGCAUACUUAUUAGCUAUUGGAUUAUACCUCAUCAAUGACAAACAGCCAAUUUCCGCACCAUUUUUCUAGAGCUUCAUAGUUGGCAUAGUCUGGAGCUACGUAACAAAUCUCUCCACUUCUUUGAGAUAGUUUCGAACAAUCUGUGGUUCCCAUGGGACACCUUUGCUUAACAUCUCAAUGCCAAAUCAUCAGGAAAUCCAAGAAUAAGACAUUGAUGCAAAGAUUCUCUAUAUUCCAAAAGAUUGUUAAAUAAAACCAACCACAUACUCGAAACCAAAAAAGAGAAAAACUACAUGCGUAUAGAGCUAUAGAUAAGAUAAAAUUCAGUUCUUUGCAAAACCAAAAAAAAUGAAAUAAAAAUAAAAUCCAACGAAAUAAAAGAUGAGUAUAUGCAGUAAUAGUCAUAUAGGAGUGAGUUCAUCAGCUGUAAUUUGGUAUUUCAGAUUGGCUCAUUCAUCAUUGCUAUAAAAUUUCAAUCAUGGCAUUCCCAUUAAAUUUCAAUUUUGAAGUAACAACUCCACAUUCCCCAAACUAUUAAACCAAAACGCAACAAACUCACACCAAAUUUUUCAUUUUUUUCCGCAUCUUUCAACACAAUAAACACAUUAUGGACUGUUCAUAUCAACACGGAUGGUAUGAUUAUAUUUAAAAGAUAGCAAAUUAGUAAAAAAUAAUAAUCAAAACUUGGGAAUUAUGGUUGUUUAAUUGUACCUAAGCUGCAGUAGUCCUUGUUGGUGUUGUGGUUGCUGGUGUUAAUCAGCCUUUUAGGGAGUAGAAGACCUUCAAUUAUAGAGCAAUACAGAACCUGGAAUUAAAUUUCAAUUUCUCUUUGCAUAGGACAGUUUAAAGUUUAAAGAUUAAAAUUCUACACACUUUCUAGCCCUAAAUUUUCCCGGGAAACAAACGGAAAGUGAUAGAAGUCAUACCUAGUCCACGAGAGCAGACGCGAUCGGCGAGUUUGGCGGAUCAUGCUGGCAGAGAUGUCUGGUGAGAAAAGGAAAGCAAACAGGGGCAAACGCCCUAUGCUCCAUGGGUCGACUAAAAUUGGGUACGGCUAAAAACCCAGAAUUCAAUCACUGAGAAAACAUCAACAACCAAAAUCACACCAAAUUCAUAAAAUUUAAAAAAAAAUAUAUGGGUUUUAUUUUUCGGGUAGUGAAUGAGUAAAAAUACCACGAAUGGUGCUGAGGACUAAAUCAAACAACAGUAAAAUUAAACCCUACUUUAUUUAUUUUUUAAAUUCGAAAAAAGGAAGAUGGUAAUGAUUUUUCUUCACAAACCUUUCUAACCCCAUGAAGGGCGCUCCUGUCAAGUCCUUCAGUGAACAUAUCUCUUCUGGGUUCUUCCUUUACCUGCACAAAAAGUCAAAAAAAUUAAAAACCCACAAACCAAAAACUGAAAAAAAAAAAUCAACUUUUUUUCUCCAGAGAUCCUGACAAAGAAGACUGGAGAGAAAACUGAAGAGAUCUCCACUGUGUUUCUAAGAGAGAGGUCGAAACGAAGGAGACGUUGUCCAACGGAUGAAGAGGAAAGAGGGAGGAACCUGGAGAAUGAGGGAAGAACAGCGCAUCGUUUCUAUUGUUCCAGAAAAAAGAUCUGCACAAAUUUUGACUGGUUCUGUCGUUUUUAGCAAGAAAAUGAGAGAGAAAACUUCAUCGAAAGAACUCGAGAACGGCGAUGGGAGGGGAUGCCCUUUCUGAGAUUAGCGAAUGGAAAAGAAAAUGGGUUUUUCCACUGCUUUCGUCGGCUUUCCACCACUUUUCUUUCCACGAUGACCAACACGUGUAGACGUGGAGCUGAGAAAAAAAAAAGCGAUUGCAGGAAAUGGAAGGCAGAGAAUGAAACAACAGAGAAAUCCAACAGGAAAGGCCAUUGAUGAAGAAUGCGUGGCCAGCCAGGACAAAGUGGUCAUUUCACUGUGUAAAAGAGGCAGCACAACGGGAGAUCAAGAAGAAACCGAGGGGCAAAUUCGUCAAAUCACUGUUAAUGAACAGUGUUCAGAAACUGAGUUUUAGUAUAUAUAAUUUAUUUGUGCAUAUAGUCAAUUACAUUGUUUUCUAUGAGUGUAGGUUUCCAUUUUUCGGGGUUAUUUAUAAUAAUAUCAAAGAAACCAUUUGCAAAGAGUGUUAAUGUGAACCUCUUUGCACCCUACACAAUAAACAAACGUUAACACUCUUUGCAAAUGAUUUUAUUAAUAUUUUUAUAAAUAACCUCGAAAAAAUAGAACUAUACUUACAAAAACAACAUAAUCGAUUAUAUGCACAAAUAAAUUUUUGCAUACUCAAAUUGUCUUUGCCCAUCGUUAUAGUAAGUGAUAUUUCGGCCAUAGUAUACGCUCUCAAACAAUGCUGAUUUCCACUUCCAUUAAUUGUGUUUAGAAUGUCUACAACUCUACUCAUGUUUUGUUAUUGUGUGAAACAUACCAUCAUUGUCCAUUGAUACUUUUACAAAUUUGAAAAUACAAGAGGGCCAAUAUAGUAAAGUAAUGCAUUCCCUUGAUCUUCGACAUGAGUAAACGGUAGAUUGCAAGUGAUAUUAACUUUUGUAAACUUCAAAAGUUAAAUACGCACAAGAAAAAAACACAGUUAUAAAACUGUAUAAAGUGUUAACAAAAGAAACUAAGAAAAAACAAAAACAGAAGUUCACCAUCAUAAUUAAGAAAGAAAACUGCUAAAUCUUUAGAUACGGAUGAUGGACACACAUAUAUAAGAGGGAGGGGAGGAUUAUAUCCCCUCCUAAUCUCUCUUACCAUCUUUGUUUCUUUCUAUUUGAAUGACUACGGUUAAGUCACGUUAACAUCUUAUAUUAAUUUUUUUAUAAAGAUAAAAAGACAAAAAACAAAAUGUGAGAGAAAGUGAGAAAAAAAAAUAGAAAUAGGAGAAAAAAAAAAUCCGACUCCCCCUCUCGAUGACCCUGCCUUGGUUUGGUAGGCAGCAAAGCCUUCACAAGGAAGGUGUCAAGCAUGCGGUCCGUAUAGAGUAGUGAUGGAGCUUUCUAUUGGCCACCCAACAAAUAUCUAAUGCUUUGUCAAAGGGGUGUUUUUUUUUAAAUUUUUUUUUAACCUCUCACUUUCUUGCUUUAGAAGGAAAAUCUCAUUUCUGCAGUUGCUUUCUCAAUAUCCAGAUUCUUGAAUAAAACCCAUAUUCGGCAUGGUUCUUGCAUUUAUUCUAAUUGGAAAUUUUCAGGAAUACAUGGUCAAGUAAAAGUGGUAUAUAAGCCAUUUGUUUUCAAAAUCACAGUAGGAAAUACUAGGAACAGUUUUUAGAAAGUCAUGGAGUAUAUGAUAUUCCCCACACUCAAUCUGUGUAAUUUGGGACACAAUUACUAGUGAUUGGUUAAGGAUGCGAAGAGGCAUAAAGGAUGAGGAUUUAUCUGUUACAUUGAUUGAAGUGGUAGACCGCUACAAAGUUAUACUUUCUUAACAACGUAUAUAACUUAUGUUUCCUGUGCUUAUGAAUUAAAUAUUACAGCCAAACCUUAUCUCGGUAGUACUCUUAAUAUUAAAAGAAACCAAUUUGUGUCCCUUGAAAAAUAACUUUGUGUUACGACUUACGACUUACGAAAACUAUUCAUAACACAAAAUCAUUUUUAAGGAACACAAACUGAUUUUUUAUUUUAUUUUUUAAAUUCUAAGAGCACCAUCGAGAUUAGGUUUGGCAGAUGGUAUUUGAUUCAUAAGCAUGAGAUAACCUUGCUAGUAAUUGAUAACAUGUUGCAAAUGAUUUAUAACUUUGUAACGGUCCAACACUUCAAUUGAUGUAACAGAUGAACCCCAUCUCUUAUGCCUCUUCGCAUCACGCCAACCACUAAUAAUCGUGUGGCAAAUUACAGAUUCAGUACGGUGCUUGAUAAUUAUCCUCUCGGUGCAAUCAAUAUCAUAACUCAUAAUCUUCUAAAAAUUGUUCUAGUGUUUUUACUGUUGUUUUUUAAGACAAAUACCUUAUUGUUACUCAGUACUACGGUCUGGUGGUAUUCCUCUUUACUUGGAAACGUUAAGAAAUUUCGUAGAUGACGAAUUCAAUACCAAAUUAAGUUGCUCAUUGUGUGAUUUAGCCAAACUCUCCAUCAUUUUAACACAAAAAUAUAUGGUUGUACUAAAAAAAAUAUAUAAAUACCUUAUUAAAUACCCUAGAGUAAAUGCAAGAACGAUGUCAAAAAGUUAUAACUCAAACUCACAGCAUUCACACCACAACUAAAAGCCAUUAAAAUUAAUGAAAAUUAAAUUACGUACUAAACAAAAGGGUAAUGUGAACACUUACACAAGAAGAAUUACCAUAUAUCUUCGUGCUUGGCCAAUUAUCCGACGUUUGAUCCAAAGAGAGCUCAACUGAGAGUCGAAACAUAUAACAAGAAAAUUAUAUAACAACCAUACAUACACAAAUAUAUGGUAUGAAAGAGAGUGAAGAAUAAUUAAAGUGAAGUACUUAACUCUUAAAACCGAUAAUGCAGUAGAUGUUUUCCCUCAUAUUUUCCUUGUCGUUUCAUAAUCCAUCAGUCUCACUAUCUCUUGAAUUGUUAUAUACGACGGACCGGACUCCUAUUUCUUUUUGUUUUUGGGUAAAAACUGGACUCCUACUCUUUGGUGUAAAGUAUGAACAGAUCUAAGGUGUUGACAAAAGAAACCAAGCAAGAACAACAAAUACAAGUUCACUAUCAUAAUUAAGAAAGCAAACUACUAAAUCUCUAGAUUUGGAUGAUCGACACAUAUAUGUACAAGGGGGAGAGAAAGUGUAGUAAGGCUUCCUGGACAAUAGGCAACUCAAUUCUCUUAAAUAAACAGUAACUGCAUGCAGUGAAUAGUAACUGUCCAAGUGCAUCUCCACCUCUAAACUAAAUAGCUAGUCAAUUUGUAUUAAAAUAUUAGUAUUUUUUAUUUAGUUUAAGUACCUAAAACUCCCUAACCUUUUAGUGUCUUUCCAAUUGACCUCAACCUUUUUAAACAUUUCAAACAAAUACUUCCUUACAUCAACAACUCAUCAAAACUCUUGCAGCUGAGAUGAACUUGCAUGGCAUGGAUAUACAGCUACGCGUUUUGUGUAAAUAAUACAAGAAUAAUUGUUUUUUUUUCCUCACAUGUUCUCAUGUUAUUAACAUUGAAUGCUAGCAUGGCAGUGAACCUGAGCCAUACAAGUUCUCUUUAAAGUUGGAACCGUUAUAAAAAGCCAAGGUAAUAAAAUUGCAAAUAACACCAAUUAUAGCCCUAUCGGACUAAAGCAUAGGUUUUGAGGGUAGGUCAAUCUUAACCUCCAAGUCGGAAAUGACACUAGUUUCAGAAAUAAUACAAACACUCUUGAGUACACGAAACGAAAAAAAGACUAUUAUUCACAUUGCAGAUAAUAUGAUACCUCAUAAGAGCGAGCAAAAACUAUACACAAAACAGCCACCUGAAACUGUACAAUUGACAAAUUUCUUAUACGUUCUAAGACUAUUUAGAUGUUCUGCAAUAAUCCGUGUCAAUAAAUCCUGCAGUUUACAGUUGAGUCUCUAUGAAUGCCAAAAUUGCCAAACCAGAUGCCCAAACAUCGUCGUCCAAUACAUGCUCUUCAGGGGAGUGACUUACGCCUCCUCGACAGCGCACGAAAAGCAUUCCCACCUGUUCACAAGUUCUCAGGCCAGAAUUGUCCACAAGAAAAUAAAACAAACAAUAACAUGGUUCAUGAUUCAUAAUUCUCUGGAAAAUGAAAACAAACCUUGGUUAAAUGAGAUAGAGCCAUUGCAUCGUGUCCUGCUCCACUCAUUAACACGGGAAUUUCAUCCUCAAUGGCUGCACCUGUCAUUCUCUUGAGCCCGAUAUAUGCUGCAGAUUUCAGCUUUGAACUCAACUCAGAAUCACAAAUGGCUGCACCUGCAUCAUGCUGAAAAAUACAAACCAUAUAAUGUUAACAGUUAAGCUUCCUGCAAAAAGAUUAACUAGGAUAGGAAAGUCCCUUACCUUACGAUCAAUUGUACAAGAAACAGAGCGUCUAUCACAAAUUUGAUACACUUGGUUAGAAAACUCAUACACAACAGCUUCACGUCCCAUGUCAUCUAUCGUACGUAAAUCUACGGUGAAUGUUACCUGAAACCAAGAGUUUCAUUUUCAUUACAGAUGUUAAGAAGUGAAUGAUAACUAACCACCUUUGGGCUGGUUAUCAAAUUUGACAGUGUCGUGAGGUGAACUUCUUGCCUGGCCAGGAAUGACGUUGCUUGCACUCGGCCAAGUUGAUAUCUCUCCAACAGUACAAACAAGCGAAGCUGAAAGCGACUCCAUCGAGAAACUUUUGCAUUGACCAUCAAAAGACAAAAAAUCUUGAGGGCUUUUACAUAAGCUUUCUAAUGAAUAAAUUGCUUCAGCAGCAGCAGCCAUAGGGUCACGACGCAUAGACAUUGGAACUGUUCCAGCAUGCCCCUGGGAACCUCUCAUCGUAACCUACAACAUUUAUGCAUAUCAAACUGCUCAAUCAAGAUAAGAAGCUAAAAUUGCAACAAGACGUCGAUGAUCAAAUAAAGUCUAUAUUACUUGUAAAGAGCUUCCGUGCAAAUCUCUUAUUGACUGAGUUUUGCCAUAAAAUUUUACAAGAUUGUACCCUUUGUGAGCUGUACACAUAUAUGUAGUUCAUGAUACUCAUCCAAUUUUUCAUAUAUUAUGUUUAUCUCGAUUUUGAAUUGCCCACGAAUUCCAAAAAUAAUAUUCAGCCACAAAAUAGAAUUACUCACUAUAUAAGAAUUAUCUUCUUUUUCAUAAAAAAAUGGACCACAAUUUAGAUAUGAUGCAACUAUGCAAACGGAAAUAUUUCAUAAUCGUAUACCUUUAUUCGUGUCUGUCCAGCUAUGCCUUUAACCACAGCUAGAGGAAAGCCAACCCAUUCUAGUACAGGUCCUUGUUCAAUAUGAAUCUGCAACAUGAAUAUUGAGGGUCAAAUGCUAGAAUAACUUAUAAGGCGAUGAUACUAAUACAAUACAACCAGCAUAGGUCACCGUACCUCAACAUAACCCCAGACCGACUUUGGGUCAUAUUUAAGCUGCAACAAGUGCUCCUCUGUAAUUUCUAUGGAGUUCUUCUUAAGAGCAUCUUCAAUUGUUACAUCACUGAACAAGGAUUUAUUACAUGUAAGUACAUUGAUGGUAAAUAGUGUUUCAAACAGAUAUAUAAUGGGAAUUAUCCGAGGAAACCUUUUAUCGGAUAUUUUGAGUGCUGAAACGGGUAAAAUUCCUGCUACAGCAGCACUGCCUAAGAAUGUAGACUGAUACCUUACUCCCUCUUCAUCACUAAAUGCUAUUACCUGCAAUGUUGUGAAGCAUAGAUAGCAUGAAACAAAUAGUUAGAUUUCUGGUAUAGCCACUACAGAGUCACUCCACAUACAGUUUUGCAAGAAAUUUCUGCUCCUACAUACUGUAAAACAUGAAGGGACUAACUGGAAAACUAAACAGGUUAAAUUUCCCUUAAUUUCACUCCGACGAAAUAUACAACUUGAAUGAAAAGGCCACGAAUUGGAAAAUAGAGAGUUAAUGAUGAAACUUAAUCGAAAAGGCAUAAUAGAUUAGACCCUACACGCAAUUCCACUUUGAGAUAUCUCCAGAUGAAAAAUUGGUAUGGUUUCACAAAACCUCUAUUCAAGUAAGAUAAACACAUAGGAGAAUAUUACCACAGAAAACUUCUAAAAUCAUUUCAAUAAAGCGCCGAUAUAUAUCUUUCCCAUAAAACUUUAAUUGUUCACUGACCUCAACUGGCCGGCUUAGUUCUCCCAACUUUCCAUUGACCUUCAAAACCUUCAAUGCAGAUAACACAGAAAUGAUGCCUAAUGCUCCAUCAAAUUUCCCACCAUCAACAACAGUAUCCUGUUAUAACCCGAAUUGUUAAAUAUCAGGAUACAAUAGUCCCAAGUUUAAGUUCAAAUAAUUAGGAAACUGAGGGAAGAAAAUAUUACCAAAUGAGAACCCAUUAACAGAGCUUCCGCACUAGCAUUCCUUCCCUCAACUCGACCGUGUACAUUCCCCAAGCAGUCAACCCAUCUGAAAAUCAAGACAAAACAUGAGACAAGAAUUCCUGAAACACAUUUUGGAUACACAGAUGGAUAGAAGCUGACGUUCUCAAACCCGCGUCUUCCAUCCAUUCCCGGAUAAGAUUUCCUGCCCUCAGAGCAGCCGGGCUCAUGAAUGUCCUCUCAAGAUAUCCAUCACCAUCACUUACCUGAUGGUCAAGGGUCAAGGCAACAAAAUCAAAAUUAAAACAUGAUCACUUUCACUACCAUAACAUACAUGGAUUUGCAAAAUUGAGUUAUGAGAACCCAAAAAGAAACACCAAACCAAUGCAAGGAAAAAGAAAAGGUCUGAGCUGCUAAGGAUUACAGUUACCGUUACAGUAGUUGUAACAAUUGCAAGAACCCUACUUAAGAUUAUAUAUUUCAAAUAGACAAUCAUCAAACCCAUGAAAAAUAGAAAAUUCAUGGGUUCUAGAUAAAUUAAUUAGUAUAUAUCGAAUUAAUUUAAUAUCUCCAUCUUUUAUAUAAAAUUAGUACUUUAAAAAAAAAAAAAGAGAAAGGGAACAUGAAGUCUGGAAAUAUCAUACCCGUCCAAGCUGGUGAAGUCUAGCCACAGCCUCAUCCCUCAGAAUUUUCGGAUACGAACCGCUCUCUUCUCCAACACCUAUUCGUACGAAUAUUAUUAAUGAUAAAAACACAUACAAAUUAGAUUUUAAGAUAAACAUGUCAAUUAGUGCCAUUGAUAAUUACCAGAAACCCCAAAAGAUGGAGUGAUGGUUGAUGAAGAAAGCAGAAGCACCAAAUAGCUGACCAAAACCACUGAAUCAUGGAAACUGCAGGAGGUGAAAAUGGAGGUGGGAUUAAUGGCGGAAUAGGUUCUCUUGUCGACACGUGUAACAGUUGCCAUGGCUGCCACCUGAACCAAAGCUUUGUGCAAAUUGUGAGAUUUAGGGUGCACCUUAAUGGUUGCCUACAUAAAAGAUAUUUUGAUUCUACUAUAGAAUUAAUAUGAAAAUUAGACUAAUUUUACAAGCAUGUGCAUUGGGUUUUUUUUUAUAGACGUGAAAUUUAUACUCUUAAUACAACAUCUUAUUAUGAAGAAUUUUCAAGCCUAAUAUAUAAAUAACAUAAACAAAGCAGCAUAAAGUUUAUUCAUUAGAUUUAUGCAUAAACAACAUGUUCUGAUCCCAUAUAAAAGUUGAAGUUCUUCAAAAAACCAAUUAUCAAUUUGUUGUGUAAUAAUUGACAAUGAUGACGUGUGGGUUGAUGUGGACCCAACUAUAUAUGUGAGUCCUUCAUGACGAUACUUGCUUGAUUCUCUUUGUGAGGAUUAUGAGGAUUCUUUAAUCACAUCUAGUCAUUGUACAUUGUGCGGUAAAAAAUCAUUAUAAUUUUUUUAUUAAAAAUUGAAUAUAAAUAGUAUCUGACAAGAACUGACCGUACAAUAUAAAAUAAAUGAAUGUGAUUAGAGGAUCUAGAAAGGAUCCUCUCGUGAGUCCCGUAUGACUUGGCAGUAUCUUGAUUUUAAUAUGUGGAGAGCAUCUAUAAAAGAGACUGUAUAUUAAUUAUUUUUAUUCAAAACAAGAUUUUAGAAUGGUAUAUAUGUUGCGGUUUUUGGAAUCCCACAAGGAUUAUUUUAUAAAUUAUGUCGAAUCCGGCAGAAAAUGACAUUACUGUUAAUGUUAGCAUCUUAUAGUAUGUUUAUUACCAGAAAAAUAUAUAUCAUAUAUACAAUUUAUAAAUUCUAUUCUCGUUUCUUAACUCACAUUAAAAAUUAAUAUAUUUCACACUCGAAUGACCUGCGUAUGUUAACUGAAAAGGAAGAGUUCCUAUAACUGAGAGGGAGAAUUCGAACUAUUAUAGAGCUAUUAUUAAUAUUUUUAAAUAAGACUAUUUUUUAAUACAAGCUAUAGUUUAGCUAAAUUAAUCUAAUUAUAAAGAGGAUUGAGGAGGGAUUCGAACUUCAGUACACAUAAUAAGAAAUUUGAUAUUGUAUCAUAGGGAUUGAAAGAAAUCGCAUCCCUUUCAAAAAGAAUAUAAUGAACAAACAGUUAAUAGCUUGAAAACAAAUUAGUGGAAGGUGAAUAACUAAAAAGAAAAACAUGAAUGAUGGGUGAUGAAAGAUAUGGAAAAGUUGAGUGGCUGCAUUAUCACAUAGCACAAUAUGCUCUAAUAUUAUAACAAACAUAUCCAUAUUUUUUUUUUCAAUAUGAGAAUUUAGAACUAAAUUGUACAAAUUUUUUAAAGAAAAAGACACCAUCUUUCUAGACCAUAUUAUGUAGACAUAUGAUGAGGCAAUCAUUAACCGUUACAUCCUAUGAUUUACAAAUAAUUUAAAAAGAUAGUCUCCAACAUUUUUGUUUUUCAGAUUUAAGAAGAGAAAAAUCAGUAAGCUAACAGUAGUUCAAAUCUUUUGCACCCAUUUUAUGUGUGGUUUUUUAGUGACCUCAUCAUUGAUUAAAACGGGUUAAUUUUAUUAAGGAAAAAUUAGUAUUUGGUCCCUAAUUUCUAAUGUUCAUUGAUUGAGACAUUAUUAAUUUUCAAAUUUUGAUUGAAGUCCCUAGGAUUAAUGUGAUAAUGAAUUUACAUGUUUAUUACAUAAUUUUUAAUAUAAAAUGGGUAAUUAAUUUAGGGUUUAAUACUCACACCUUUAUUAAACUCCUAAUUAAUUUUCAAUUCAAACAUUUCCAAAAUAAUAAAAAAUAAAAUUAGAUUAAGUUUGUACCUAUUAGUUUUUUUUUUUAAUAAAAAGAUUCUUAAUUUUUUAAUCUUAAAUGUACCCAUUCAUAUAAUUUUUCAAUUUUUUUUAAAUCUUAAAUGUACCCAUUCUUAAAUAUACCAAUUUGUUAUAUGUAAAAUAUACCUUUUUUUUUAAUAUAAAAUCCAUUCAAAAAUUUUAAUCCAUUUUUAAAGUUAUAUGGGUACAUUCUUUUUUAUUGAUUUGAGAAUGUAUCCAUGUCAAGUUCGAUCGAAGAAAUUUACGUGUGUGUGUGUAUACACACAAUAUAAUAGAGAGUAUAAUUUAUAUUUUAUUAUUUUUAAUCCCACAAAUUAUGGGUUCUAUUUAAAAUCUCAUUAAUAUAAACAAUUACAAAUUACAAAUUUUAAUUUUUAACUUAAAAAAAUAUAGUAACUUACAUUAUUACAUUAAUGUCAUGGACUUCGAUCAAAAUCUAAAAACUAACAAAAUUUCAGUAAAAGAAUAUUAAUAGUUAGGGAUCGCAUUCAAAGUGUAAAUUUCAUUAAUCAUUCUUAACUUUGUCGUCUUAGACUAACACAUGUCAACUAAUAAAAAAAGAACACAAAAAAAUUCACACACAAAAUAAAUAUAAAAGAUUGGUUUGAGAAUGUUUGGGUGUUACCGUCCUAUGAUGAAGACAAAAGCUUAAGGCCGACACAUUUGUCUAUGGGCAUAUUUUCUUAAAGAAAAUUAGUAACGCAAUAAACACAGAAUCAUGCUCAUUUAUACUAUAUUAUAACAGGCUACCAUCUGUUGAAGACGAUUUACAUGUUUGUCUUGAAAACGGAAUUACAGACCUAAAGAAUGUAAUCCCACGCCAGAAGCCUUUUUUGGUCACGAUUCCAUUAAUAAAAUUAAAAUAUAUAUGCUCAAGGAAUGUAGCCCAUCGAAACUUAAUAAAAUAUAUUAUUACUUAUAAUAGUUCAGCUAUUAAAAAUAUCAAAAUCUUUCGUGAUGAAACUAUGCAUCUUCGCAUAUGUGCAAGUAGUAAAUUUAAAGCAAUAACACUAUUAUUAGUAGUAAAUUGUUAACCCUUGUAUAUUGACAUAUAUAAUAGGUAGCGAUGCUGUUUUCACAAAAGUGGACAAGUUGAAGUUACGUGAGUGACUUCUUCGCUUAAUUUGCAAUUAAAACAAAUCACGCAAGACUAAAGUUGUCAUAAUCUGUCAAGUAGUUUAACCAGCCAAGCAAGUUCUUGUCUUGAUGAUCACAUGUAUUGUACGUAUUACUCAAAUCUUGAAACAAGCUAGGCCUCUCUUUCAAUGUUGACGAAAAAAGGAGGCCAAAAUUUGGACUACGGGCAAAUGGCAACGUACCCACUUACUUUCCAAUACAAAACUGGUAGCUUCACAAUUCAUUUCUUCCUCUUAUAUUACAGUUCUCUCCUUCCCCCUUUUUUUCUUAUCUUUUUCAAUCGUGUUGGAAUCCCACUUCGGUACGUGGGUGCAAAAAGAAAAUAAUGGGUUUAAAUAUAAUCACUCUACUUUAACUAUUAUCGAGGCAUUUUGUACUAAAAUUUCACACCUGACGGAUUGGGCAGAUGGUAAAGUUGGAGAUAGUAUCGGUAUUGUUAGAGUGGGGCUCCCGGGCUCGUCGAUCUAAAAAUUCCAACAAGGUAUCAAAGUCAAGGUUCAGGCCCGUGCAAGCUAAUGAGCUUGUCACCAGGAAGGAAACAAGCUGGGACUCUUAACAUAGAGCCAGCCUAUGAGUUCUAUUGAAAAUAAGUAUGGACUCUUAACAUAGAGCCGACAUCUGAGUUUCAAUUGCCAGUGUGUGGAUCCCCACGUGUGAACCACUAAAUGAGGUUACUCGUGAGGGGGAGUGUUGGAAUCCCAUAUUUGUGGGUGCAAAAAGAAAAUAAUGGGUUUAAAUAUGAUCACCCCACUUGAUGAGUCCAUAUUAUACCAUAUAUUUCACCCUAAUCUUAGUAUUAAUUUAUUGGUUAUUUUGGUAGAAUUUUGAUACUUUGUUAUUGUAGACAUCGAAAUUUCGGUAAAUAAAUGUUGACCAAUAAAUCAAAGUGUCAACGCUCAUGUAUUACAUAAAUUUUACACGUAGCAUGUGACUCAACGAAAAUUGAAAUGAGUUGGAAAAGUCAUCAAAUAAGACACGUGUCAACACCUGGCAGAAACGACUUAUUUCAUCUGGGAUAUUAUAUUCAAAAUUAGGCCUUGGAAAAUUCUAUAAAUACAAGCCCAUUUCAUUCAUUUGGAGGACCAAUUCAUAUUACACCUUGAAGCUCUGAAGCUCUGAAGCUCCGAAGCUCUCAAGCAUCCAGGUUCCCGAAGAAUCAAGAAAGCUCUCUUCGUUCUUCGUUCUUCGUCCAUCGCUCUUUCAAGAUCAAGCCCCGACGGCCCUUGAAGAAAGCACCAUCGUUCAUCAUCCGUUCUUCCAAGAUCAAGCCCCAACGGCCCCUUUGGAUCGACAACAUCAACAAAUCCGCUCAUCCGCUGUUCAUCAAGCCCAAGCCCCGACGGCCCUUGAAGAAAGCGUUCAUCGUUCAUCACUGUUAUUCGAGAUCAAGCCCAAAAGCCCUCGAAGAUCCGUUCAAGCCCAAAAGCUCUCGAAGAUCCGUUCAUCACUAUUCUUCGAGUUCAAGCCCAAAAGCCCUCGGAAAUCCGUUCAUCACUGUUCUUCAAGAUCAAGCCCAAAAGCCCUUGAAGAUCCGUCAAUCACCAUUCUUCAAGAUCAAGCUCAAAAGCCAUUGAAGAUCCGUUCAUCCUCGUUCAUCCAAGAUCAAGCCUCGACGGCCCUUGGAUCAAUCGCACAUCCCACAAAUCAACACCUUACGGAGAUCGAAUCAGAGGAUCAAAUUAGAGAGAGAUUGUAACCCAAAAUCAUCAAAUACAUAAUAUUUGUUUGUGCACGUCGUUGUUCUUGUCUCUUUCGUUUCAGGAAUUUUCCGUGUUCACAAAUUGGCACGCCCGGUGGGAUAAUCUCUACCUCUCAUCUCUUUCUCCGUUCAAGGAAUCCAAGCACACCUCAAAGUCAAUGGCAUCAAGCAAGGGACAAGCCAUUCUCGCAACCACUGAAGGAAGGAUCCUAAGCACUUCUGCCGCAAACGGACAAUCCAUUGGCGCCACAACCGCUCCUCAACAUGCCACUUCAAAAUUGGUGCCGCUAAAAGAGCAAGGGGAGCAUCCAAGGUGUGAGUAUGUCAUCAACCUGACCUCACUGGGGGCACCGAAGCACGAUGUUGGGGCACACAAGAUGACAUCCCAAAGCAGCCAACGACGUUCUUCAUCAGCAUCCUGGAUGUCUAAAGGAAAGUCACGUCUAUUGGUCGCACAAGUCAUGACUAUCGGCGUUACCUCCGUUGAAGAACAACUGGCUCAAAUGAAUGAAGCAAUCGCAAGGCUAACCCGAACUGUGGAAGAAAAAGACUUGCAAAUUGCAGCACUAGUCAACCGACUGGAGGCGCAGGACGACGAUAAACCCGACCCAGAAGAUGAUCCACUAAAGGGAGGAGCUGGCGGAGACGAAGAACCCCCGGUGAAGAAAAUCGAUGGGAAGCCGGAGCCAGACCAAGCAGCGGCACUCAUGGGAUCUCUUUCUAUCCAGCAGCUGCAGGAGAUGAUCACCACACCAUCAAGGCACAGUACGAAGGGAGCUCACAUACCUCCUUGUUCUACUCGAAGCCCUAUUCCAAGAAGAUUGAUGCCCUAAAAAUGCCGAGGGGAUAUCAACCACCAAAGUUCAUGCAAUUUGAUGGAAAGGGAAACCCGAAACAGCACGUUGCCCACUUCGUUGAAACUUGCAACAACGCAGGAACCGAAGGGGAUUACCUCGCCAAGCAGUUUGUGCGCUCGCUGAAAGGAAACGCCUUUGAGUGGUACACAGACCUAGAGCCUGAGUCCAUCAACAGCUGGGAGCAGUUAGAGCGGGAAUUCCUCAACCGCUUCUAUAGUACCCGCCGCACUGUGAGCAUGCUAGAACUAACGAGCACAAAGCAGUGGAAGGACGAGCCAGUCAUUGACUACAUCAACAGAUGGCGCACUCUAAGCCUCGACUGUAAAGACAGGCUCUCGGAAACCUCUUCAAUCGAGAUGUGCAUCCAAGGCAUGCAAUGGGGUUUGCAAUACAUCCUUCAAGGCAUUAAACCACGGACCUUCGAGGAAUUGGCCACUCGCGCUCAUGACAUGGAGUUGAGCAUCGCUCAUCAUGGGAAGAAAGAACCGAUCGCCGACUACAAGAACGACAAAGUUCUUGGGACAAAGGUGGAAAAGGCUGCAUGGAAACCCACCAAGGAAGCGAUGACGGUCAACACAGCUCCCGUCAAAAUCUCCACACGAGGCAAGGCGAUUCAAACCGAAGCUUUUCGUGAUCAAGAGAUGCGUAGACGCACUUUGAAGGAGCUUGAGGAAAAGAUUUAUCCAUUCCCCGACUCUGCUGUAGUUGCCAUGCUGGAUGACCUGUUGGACAAAAAGGUGAUCAGUUUGCCUGAGUGCAGACGGCCGGAAGAGAUGAAUCGUACCGACAGUCCAAGGUACUGUAAAUUCCACCGCUUCAUCAGUCAUCCGACAGAAAAAUGUUUUGUGCUGAAAGAUCUCAUCAUGAAGUUGGCUCAGAAAGGAAUCAUCGAGCUAGAUCUGGACGAUGUGGUGAAGUCAAACUAUACCACCUUCACUUCUGGCUCUUCCGACUCAAAGUUUUCACCUCAACCGUUGGGGGCAUCCUCCAAGACAAGCAAAGUUGAAGGAUGGACUCAAGUCACUCCUAAGAAAUUGCACAAGAAGCAUACGUCUCCUCCACACAAGUCCGCCAAUCGGAAAGGGGGCAAAGCAGCUCUUGUCAACCUUCGAAGCAACGUGAACGUGUUGAAGAUGAUGAAAUUUCGACAUAUAGAUCGUCCAUCCCCAUCACGAUGCGUGAUUUCUUGCCCGAAGACUUCUUCAAUCACUCGGUCAAGGCUCCUUGCUAUGAAGAUUGUGAGGAACGCCUCUCCAAAAUUGCUUGACAAAUUCACCAAAGCUCAUUGUCUGUAAGAGCCUAAACUGCAAGACACAAGGCUCCUCGCCCGCACGAGCCUAAACUGCAUGGCACAAUGCUCCUGGUCUGCACGAGCAUAAAAGGCAACACCAACGCUCCUUGUCUGCACGAGUUGAAACUGCAAACGACACCAACGCUCCUUGCCUGCACGAGUUGAAACUGCAAACGGCACAAAAAGAAAAUACCAAGAAAAAAAAAUAUGCAUGUAUUUGAACUACGUUACGACUUGAUCUCUUCUUUAGAGGGGUACGUAGGCAGCUUGAAUAUUCGAAAUUUCGAGUUCAAUCACAUCAAAAUCAAAAGAAUAAAUGUUUUAUUAAAGAAGGUCAAUUUCAUUACAAAUUUAUUUUUUUGUUAAGAAAAUUUGCAAUUUUCUUUGUACAAAAUUAAAUUACAGUUUCUUCGAAAAAAAAUUUUGAAUACAUAUGUUAUUAUGUAUUUAGAAAAAAAAAAGAAAAAAAAAAAAGAGAAAAAAAAAAAGAGAUACAAUUUCUUCAAAAAAAAAAAAAAAAAAAUACAUAUGUUAUUAUGUAUUUAGAAAAAUAUAUAUAUAUAUAUAUAAUAUAUGAGUGUCUCGGCCCAGCAGCAAAAGGGCUCAAGCCACAACGGGCCCCAAACUCCAGCUUGUCUUCUUCUUCCUCAUUUCUCCUUGGCCCACAGUGCAGCCCAGCAGAGAGCACACAACUCCAACCCCAUCUUCUAAUCACUCACUCAUCCCCCACUGCCAGGACACCCAAAAGCAUUUCCCUUCAACUUCGUCGGCCUCCGCCGCCUCAACGACGUCGUCCUCUGGGAACGCCUCGUCGUCAAAUAACUACUUCAGUGCUGCUUCCGGGUCCACCCCAAGAUUUCCUAUGCCGUCUUCCACUCCCGUUGACCAUUGCCUCCGUCAAAUGCCGCACCAGGAGAUCGAUCUGCUGAAGAUCGUGAAGAGGUUUUUUGGAUCCGAAACCGGACUGUGGGCUCGGGUUGCAGCUACCGCUCAUUGAUCGCCUGCCCGAUGUGCUCAAGAACAGGCUCGAUCGCUCCAGGACGCCUUCGAUCUGGCAAUCCGGUCCCACGACUACGGCUCCCAUUACCAGGGCGUGUACCCGGUGAAAUGCAACCAGGACCGGUUCGUCGUGGAGGACAUUGUCAAGUUUGGAUCGCCGUUCCGGUUCAGACUGGAAGUCGGGUCGAAGCCGAAGCUCACUCCGUACGGUAACAGCCAUGUCUGUACAGACCGCCGCGUCUGCCGUAUCAUCGCCAGACCAUGCUGCCGAGAAAUGGUUUUCGGUGCCGGAGCUCCGACUCCGAGACCACCGAUUCACUGUGCCCCUUGACUACUCCGUCGAUCGUACCGCUUCGCCUAAGAUCUCAGUCUUCGCUCGCGAAGUUGUUUCAGUUAGUAAAGAAGAACAACAAUUGCCAUACCUAUUAUAUCUACAAGGUGGACUUGGAUCUGAGGCCCCCGACCAACUAAAUCCAGUGGAUGGAUAUGUAAAGCAGGUGAAGAAUUUCGUGUUAUGUUGCUGGAUCAGCGAGGAACAUAGUUUAUUCGAGUACACCUUGUUUCUGAUGCUGCACCAUGGAUACGUAAAGCGUGUAAGAAGACGCUGGGGACGACAUGGGAUUUCUUUAGGAUGAGGGACGAGUAGAUGAAGCACCCCGUGCUUUCCAAUCAGCUCCACCACGCCACUCCUGGCCUCGGCAUCGCUCUCGUUACAUUCAGCGGUGAGCAGAUCUACGACCGCCUCAUAUCAAUGUUUUGAGGCACCAAAUAUCAACGUUUUCAGAAACCCGAGAUAGGGAGAGGGCAAGAGACACAUGGCGAAGAUCCAACGGUCGCCGGAAGAAUUUCAUAGCUGUCGAGGCGGAGUUGGCGGCAGCCAAAAAGGCGUCUACAAAUAAGGAGAGUGGAAAAUCCUCUGUUCUUUUGGAUGUCAAGCCUUGGGACGAUGAGUCUGACAUGAAGAAGCUCGAUGAGGCUGUUCGGAGUGUCGAGAUGGAGGGUCUCUUCUGGGGCGCAUCGAAAUUGGUUUCCGUUGGUUACGGGAUCAAGAAGUUGCAGAUCAUGCUCACCAUUGUCGAUGACCUUGUUUCCGUCGAUGACCUCAUCGAAGACCAGCUUACCGUUGAACCCCCGCAUCGGCAACAUCAGCACGGGCAGUGCACUUCUGGACUCAAAGCUCAGCAACAGCGGCGGCACCGGCAGCUUCGAGGUCGAGUCUCGGAAGCUCCCUUCCUCCAAGUACAAAAGCGUGGUCCCGUAGCCAAACGGACGCCAGGGCCCACAACGUUGCUGCACAACGCUUCCGUCGCCACAACGCCGGCAUCAACUUCGAGUCUUCAUCUACUGAACCCAGCUCCCGGUCUUAGCACUCCGCCUCGCCAAGUCCACCUUCAUCACUGCAGGAUCGUUCCCAAGCAGAAGUUGGUCCCCGCAAGGUUCGAGGUAAGGAUGUACUUGGGAAUGCCGUGGUGGCUGCUCUAAACCACUAUACAUCAAACAAAAAAAAAACUUGUGAAUGCAUGGGGCAACCCAAUCUCAAACACCAUCGAGCGGGACUCCUUCUCCGUCAUCUCCUGCUACUUCCAAAGCUGCACCGCUCCUCUUUGCCCAUCUUCCACCGCAGCUGCCAACGACUUCAACGACCGCCGUCAAACGACUAGCCGGUCGUGAAGCUCGAAGCACCAUCUUCUCCGUCCUCCUUGCUCCGCUGCCUGCAAAUUUCUUUACCCAUCAUCAACAUUUAUACAAAAAAGAUAUAUUAAAAAAAUAGGAUGGUGGAGCAAAGCAAAGUGGUGCAUCUGGCACCACGUGAAAAAAAAAGAGGAAUGGUGGAUCAAAGAUGGGGUACAGCCCCAUGGCAGAUCAAAAGUUUCUGGUGGUGCAUGGGCACCAUGUGCAGAAAGAAAGAAAGCAAAAAAAAAAUAAAUAAAAAAUAAAUAUUGUAAAAAAAAAAAAAAUAAAUAAAUAAAUAAACAUAAAAAAAAAUAAUAAUAAAAAAAAAAAUGAUGGAACUUGGUGCAUCCAGCACCAAAAGAAAAAAAAAAAAAAAACAAAUGCAUAGAGAGAAAUAGAAGGUCCAUUUUAUUUAUUUUUCUGGAAAUUAUACAUAAAUUUAAAAAAAAAAAUCAAAUCAAAUCAAAUUUACAAGAGGGGAUAUUCAAGGACGAUCAGGUGGCGCCUCACAACUCGGCAGAGCUCCAGGAAGAGAAGGCGUUAGAGGUUGGCUGUUUGAAGCCUCAGCAGUCGGUACAGCCCCAGAAGACGAAGGUAAAUGCUGCUGGAACAAACCCACAAACCUCCGAUGAUCAAGUAAGAUCUGACCAUCAGAUUCCUGCAUCUGGUCAAUUUUCCUCUUCAUGUUUGUGGCAUAGUUGUGUGCAAGCUUGUGCAACUGUUUAUUCUCAUGCUUGAGCCCUCUGAUCUCCUGUUUGAGACUCAUCACUUCAGCCGCCAACGAUUCAACUUGACGGGUUCGAGCAAAUAGGCGUUGGGCCAUGUUGGACACAGAACCCGCACACUGCACACUUAGAGCCAGGGACUCCUUAACGGCCAACUCAUCAGACCGCCUGGAAAGUAGUCUGUUAUCUUUGGGAGUGACAAGGUUCCGGGCCACCACCGCAGCGGUCAUAUCAUUCUUCAUCACCGAAUCCCCAACAGUAAGAGGACCAGUAGGGGAUAUGAAGGAUGGGCGCCAUAUGUUAUCUGGAGAAGACGGGACUACCUCUUCACCAAGGUUCAAAUCAAAACGACGGUCGGAGGGACCAGACAUUUUCAAAGUGUUGAAGGAAGAAGAGAUCGGACAAAUCAAGAUCUUAGAAGUACAAGAGGGAAGUUUUCACAAGCGAAAAUUCAAGUGUGUUUUUUGAAACGAACUGCAUGCCUCUAUAAAAAAUCAGCACUCGACGGGAUUUCAGAGAUCGAAGAGGCGAGCUCAGAAUUCGAAGAGGCCAUUCAAAAAUCGAAGAGGCAAGCUCAGAAAUCGGAGAAGCAUCUUGCUUUUCCAGACGUGUCGGCACCCGUCACACGCAAACUCAGCGUUGCGGAAAUCACGGGUAAUUUGUCGAAGCGCCAAUCCCAGAUAUCGAAGAGGCGCCAGUCUUUUUCAGCCGAGUCAUCACCUGUCAUAUGCACACUCAACUUUGCGCAAAUCACGGGCAAUUUGUCGAAGAUUUUCGGUGAAAGAGAAAGCACGUGAAAUUUUACUGUUCAAUCACGCGUUAGUUGCCGACACGAGUGAAAGAAUAGUACCUCUACAAGUAUUAAAGAACUUCCUAUAACUGUCCAUCUUCACCCUCCAUAGCAAGGCAGACAUACAAAACCUUUCUUCAUCUCUGAGAAUGCCUUCCCAACGAAGCCUCUUGAGUUACCCAGUGUUCCUUAUUCCUUGGGGUACCUCUGCAAGCCAAUGACUCCAAAGCAAAAGUAUCUCAUAUCACCAGGGUAGAAAGCAAGAGUAUCUCAUAUCAUGCGUUCUCCCUGUCCUUUCCUUUAUCCCUGUUCUUACCUACAAAGACAAGGAUAAAGAAAACAAUAUGCCGGAACUUCCACUCAAACUCGGGUAAGGAACCGACUGCUUGGAACCCUUCCCUGAUUGCCUACCUAGCACUGCUCUCGAGUACUCGCCUUCCACUGCUGCUGUACUUUCAAAGAAGCUGCCACAUCUGCCUGAAGAACAGAUAAGGCAAGUGAAAAUGAUACCUUGCAGCAUGUGGAGACAAGGUGCAGAAGGAACAAGCAGAGAAGAAUGCAGCAUGCUCAGUUAACUCGGCAGAAAGAGUCUGAGAUGAAGAACUCGUUUUGACCCUCAAAUUCUUGGGUCGACUUACUAGGCGUUGUGGGCUGCACGUGCUGAUUCACCACCCUUGAAUCAAAUCCUUAAAGAUCAUGUCACCAACGGGAAGAAGAGCUCAUCAACCUUGAAGAUCAUACCGUUGACCAAACUGCUCAGGUGUGAAUUAGAAAGAUUGAACAAAGAAACAGGUUGUCACCUUUACCUCGUGCCUGCUUACCAUGUGUUCGAGUCAACCUUCAAGAAUCAAGCCUCAACGGCCCUUGAAGAAGCUUCCAGCCAAAUUCAAAAUCAAGCCUCGACGGCCCUGGAAGAAAUCACAAGUCCGAUUCAAGAUUAAGUGUCUACCACCCUUGAAUCAAAACCUAGUUCAAGAAUAAGCUGUGGAAAAUCAACAAUUGGAGGAAUCUAGAAAAUCCUUCAACCCAGUUCAAGAUCAAAGCUGUGGAAAGUCAACAAAGCGCAACAAAAUACGUGUCGAUUCACCCACUACCAAAGCCAAAGAUCAUCUACCACAUGAAACUCCUUGUGGUCCAAUUUCAACCUUCAAGAUCAAGCCUCGACGGCCCUUGAAGAAAUUUCAAAACAACAAUUCAAGAUCAAGCCUCAACGGCCCUUGAAGAAAUCUCAAGCCCAAUUCAAGAUCAAGCCUCAACGGCCCUUGAAGAAAAAUCUCCAGCCCAAUUCAAGAUCAAGCCUCGACGGCCCUUGGAUCGACAUCUAUAGUAAGGGACUUCAAAACACAUCUCCUACACGUGACAAGCACAUGUAUACGACGUGCCUUGAAGUGGGGGCAUUUGUAGACAUCGAAAUUUCGGUAAAUAAAUGUUGACCAAUAAAUCAAAGUGUCAACGCUCAUGUAUUACAUAAAUUUUACACGUAGCAUGUGACUCAACGAAAAUUGAAAUGAGUUGGAAAAGUCAUCAAAUAAGACACGUGUCAACACCUGGCAGAAACGACUUAUUUCAUCUGGGAUAUUAUAUUCAAAAUUAGGCCUUGGAAAAUUCUAUAAAUACAAGCCCAUUUCAUUCAUUUGGAGGACCAAUUCAUAUUACACCUUGAAGCUCUGAAGCUCUGAAGCUCCGAAGCUCUCAAGCAUCCAGGUUCCCGAAGAAUCAAGAAAGCUCUCUUCGUUCUUCGUUCUUCGUCCAUCGCUCUUUCAAGAUCAAGCCCCGACGGCCCUUGAAGAAAGCACCAUCGUUCAUCAUCCGUUCUUCCAAGAUCAAGCCCCAACGGCCCCUUUGGAUCGACAACAUCAACAAAUCCGCUCAUCCGCUGUUCAUCAAGCCCAAGCCCCGACGGCCCUUGAAGAAAGCGUUCAUCGUUCAUCACUGUUAUUCGAGAUCAAGCCCAAAAGCCCUCGAAGAUCCGUUCAAGCCCAAAAGCUCUCGAAGAUCCGUUCAUCACUAUUCUUCGAGUUCAAGCCCAAAAGCCCUCGGAAAUCCGUUCAUCACUGUUCUUCAAGAUCAAGCCCAAAAGCCCUUGAAGAUCCGUCAAUCACCAUUCUUCAAGAUCAAGCUCAAAAGCCAUUGAAGAUCCGUUCAUCCUCGUUCAUCCAAGAUCAAGCCUCGACGGCCCUUGGAUCAAUCGCACAUCCCACAAAUCAACACCUUACGGAGAUCGAAUCAGAGGAUCAAAUUAGAGAGAGAUUGUAACCCAAAAUCAUCAAAUACAUAAUAUUUGUUUGUGCACGUCGUUGUUCUUGUCUCUUUCGUUUCAGGAAUUUUCCGUGUUCACAGUUAUAUAUUUUCAAUGUAGGGCAUUCGACUUCCUCUGGUGCAAAAAGUGAUCAAACGGAUGAAUUUUGGAGUGAUUCCAAUUGGAGGAUGUUCAUGUGCCCUUCAAGAUGAUUGUGUCAAAAUUCCAUAUUUUUCUAUCUAGCCGUUUGACCGUGGCAAUGAAAUAAAGGCCCAUCGCGCAGCUUUCCUAGAUUGAUGUUUCUAGACAUUUUGGGUAUAUUGAAGGUCAAGAUGGCAUAUUUUGAGGAAGAUUCCUACUGAGGAUUUGUAGGGGACGUCUUUAGCUUUCAAAAGAGACCUUAUGGGACCAAAUCGUAGUUGAUUUGGUAGGUCAAAAGAUUAAUUUCUGAGAACUCCGAAUUCUAGUUCAAAUAGGAAACCUUUUAUUUUCUGUUUUAUCAUUUAAUUAUGUUUCCUAGUUUUAUUCUAAGACCUUUUAUAGGAAGGAUUUUAUUUUGUAGUAGUAUAAAUAAGGCUUUUUAUUCAUUAGGAGAGAGGGGGGGAGAACGCACGCAUUUUGGUUUUAGAGAGCUUUUGACGAUUCAAGUUUAUUUUCAAGGUGUUUUAUAUCCAUGUUUCUAACAGUAUUUUAUUUUAUGAUUGUUCGAAACUAGUUUCUUUUCAAUUUGCUUAUGAUAUUAUGGAUGCAAGUUUUGAAUUAUUAGUCACUGUACUUUAAACUAUCUAAUUGUCUUGAUGAUUGGCCACCAUUAGAGUAUCUAGAAAAGUAAUUUGAUGCAAUUUUGGCAGAGGGUUGUUCCUGGAAUUGGCAUUGGCUUCUUAUGGUUAAUAUGUGUAACUUCUUAGGAUGGACGACAUGUCUUAAGGGUUAUAUGGUUUUUCAGAAGGUUUUCACAAAACUUAAUGAGUUUGGCAUGUUCACAUUCGAUCUGAACACCACAGACAAGUUGCAUGUUAGAUAUAUGUUCUAUGUUGGAGCAGAGCCGUCCCUGAGGGUGUGCAAAAGGUGCAACCGCACAGGGCCCCCAAUUCGGAAGGGCCCACAAAAUUUCUUUACAUGUACACAUAUACAUAUAAAUAUAUUAAAUGUGCAAGAGAAUAUCGAAGUUAUUUGUAAGCGGUAGUGGGUUAGGCUUCCUACUCUUUCACCCAGGAGUAGGGUUCGAUUCCCUAUGGCUUUGCUUUGGAAUUUUAAUUUUUUUUGCAUAUUAUAAACUUAUUGAGCAGACAAAUUUACACAAAAACAUUCACCUUAUUUCGAAUUCAAGACCUUUUGAAGAUAGAAAAAAAACUCCUAUAAAACAAACUUAUUUUUUAUUCCCUAAUUUGUAAUAUUUCAAUUUUAUUGAAUAAAUUGAAAGUUAAGAAAUAAUAUAAAAAAAUACACCGUUAGAAAAUGAAGGCCCCUGUCUAAAUUUUGCACAGGGCCCCUAAAUUCUCAAGGCCGGCCCUGUGUUGGAGGUUCCAAGUAGGAUAUAUAUUAGGAAAACCUAACCUUCAAAAUAUGCUAGUGUAAGUCAUAAGUAAUUGGAAGAAUUACGUAGGAUUGUUAAGGUGACGGCGGAACCCUAGUGCUUAAAUAGAUUGCAAAACUAUUUUCUUUUGGUUUUUUUUUUUGUGAAAACCUUCUGAAAAACCAUAUAACCCUUAAGACGUGUCGUCCAUCCUAAGAAGUUACACAUAUUAACCAAAGCCAACGCCCAUUCCAGGGACAACCCUCUGCCAAAAUUAUAUCAAAUUACUUUUCUAAAUACCCUAAUGGUGACCAAUCAUCAAGACAAUUACAUAGUUUAAAGCACAGUGAUUAAUAAUUCAAAACUUGCAUACAUAAUAUCAUAAGCAAAUUGAAAAGAAACUAUAUAUUCUUGCUAAGGCUCGUGGCCUCGCCCUAGCAAACAAAACUAGUUACGAACAAUCAUAAAAUAAAAUAUUGUUAGAAACAUGGAUGGAAAACACCUUGAAAAUAAACUUGAAUCAUCAAAAGCUCUCUAAAGCCAAAAUGCGUGUUCUUCCCCCCCUCUCCUAAUGGCUAAAAAGCCUUAUUUAUACUACUACAAAAUAAAAUCCUUCCUAUAAAAGGUCUUAGAAUAAAACUAGGAAACAUAAUUAAAUGAUAAAACAGAAAAUAAAAGGUUUCCUAUUUGAACUAGAAUUCGGAGUUCUUAGAAAAUUAGUCUUUUGACCGACCAAAUCAACUCCGAUUUGGUCUCAAAAUGUCUCUUUUGAAAGCUGAAGACGUCCCCUACAAAUCCUCAGAAGGAAUCUUCCUCAAAAUAUGCCAUCUUGACCUUCAAAAUAAUCAAAAUGUCCAGAAACGUCAAUCUGAGAAAGCUGCUCGCUUGGCCUCUAUUUCAUUGCCACGGUCAAACAGCUAGUUAGAAAAAUAUGGAAUUUUGACACAAUCAUCUUGAAAGGAACAUGAACAUCCUACAAUGAAAAUAUAACAAAGUAUCAAAAUUCUACCAAAAUAACCAAUAAAUUAAUACUAAGAUUAGGGUAAAAUAUAUGGUAUAAUAUGGACUCAUCACCACUCUUACUAAUAUCGAGAUUUUUUGUGGUAAAACCUCACACCUAACGGUUUGGACAGAUAAUAAAGUUGAAGACAAUAUUGAUAUCGUUAGAGUGAAAUCCCCAAACUGUCGAUCUAAAAAUUCCAACAAAUCGGUUUCUCCUUAUCAUCUCCAAACAACAUAGAACUCUUUGCAUUUAUGUUUGGCUUUUUUCCCAGUUUCACCUGUAAGGGAAGGGCAAAGGUGGUCUAAAGAUUCCCUGGAGACCGGAGAGCAAUGCAUGCAGUUGUGUUAAUUAAUUAUAUAUGUGCGUGGUGACGAAUAUCCCUCUAUGCAAUAUUUUACGAUUGUCUUUCCUUUAAUUUUAUUAAAAUUUAGUUCAUGUUAUUAUGCACUAAAAUUCCUAAGGAUUCCACUGAUAUGGAGCAGUAGUGGACCUACAAAAUAUUCCUCGAGAUUCUUUUUUUAUGCACAAGAAUCAUGGAAAGUGGAUGCAUGGGGAAGAAACAAUAUAAAAAUGAGAGAAAUAGUUUCAUGCAGUUGGACACAUCGUAAAAUGUUGUACUGGUACAACACAUGUUUACUGCAAGUGCAAGCUGCAUGUUUUAUGUCAAAAGCUUGUAUUUGAGCAUAGAAAACGUAGGCUUAAAGAAGGGAUAGAUGAAGUGUGAGUUUGAAACAAGGAGCCUACCCAGCCUACCCAUUUCAUUAAUUAAGGUCAUUAUCUGAUUGAUGCCAGAUGGUUAAGCGUGUUUAAGAAUUAAUUAGUUUGAAUAUUUGACUUUAUUAAGAGGAGGAAAAAUGUUAAAUUUUGACAUUUCACACCAUAAUAUAACAUCCUUUGAGAUUGACAAGAAAACAUUAAUUGGGUGGAGAUCCCAUCGCUGAUUGGUCAAAACAUGAUGGACCAAUUUCAAACUUAACAUAAGUUCAAGACUUCAUAAGGUCAGGUAGAAAAUCAUUUGAACUGUCUCUCAAGACCUUUGGUCUCUACCCUAACCUGAUGAAAAAAAAUGCAAUCACUUCUUGUAGACUCGUUGAGAAUGAUUUUGAUGUACGCCAAAAAAUUUCAUACCGCUACCAUUUAGUAUUCAUCUUUACUUGGUGAUAAAUAAAGCACCUUCAGCUCUUUCAAACUAAAAAAAAAGAUGUUGAAGAAGAUUAUAUAGGAACAUGAAAAAACAUAAAAAUAAAACGCAAUACAAGAUCAAUACAAAGCCAGAGUUUUUGAUUUCUUCCUAAAAAGGUAUUUGUAUUUUAGAAGGGAAAAAUACUUCAAAGAUGAAAAUGUUCCUAUUUAAUAGUCAAGAAUUCUGGACGGCGUCGAGUAGGAGCAAAUACCAAUAUAAUUACUAUCAAGUCACGCCAGGCAUAAAACAUGCAUCCAUAUGUUGGAAUAUGAUUAUGAUAACAUGAUUUUCACAAUAUGUGUAAUCAUGUGUGAAGGUACACCAUAAUAUUGGUGUACUAAUAUACAUAUGAUUGUAGUGAAAUAAGUUAAUUAAUUAAUAAAGAAAAUAAUAUAAUUAUUAUUUUUUAUUUAAUUUAUUUCAACAUAAAAAGUUAUAACUUCCCCUAAAAAAUACAACUCCACUAGAAGGGUUAUUUCCAUCUCUAUAUAUUUGUCAAAUCCUUUUCUGUCAUAUUCAUUCAAUUUGAUACUUACUCUCUGUUCAUAUCCUUCACACCAUAUUGUGAUCGAUAGUCUAAGUGACAUUCGUUUCCGAUCUUGUGUACUACCCUAUUUUCUAACAUUGGUAUCAGAUCCAGGUUUUCAUGAAUCAAAACAAUUUGCCUAGUUUUCAUCUGAGGAUGUUUCGAACUACAAUUGAGACUUCCUCUUCGUCAAGUAACGAAUCAAACAACGUUCUUACUGAGUUUCAACUUGAGAAGAAAUUAGGGAAGAGGACGUUGUUGGACAAGGAAAAUAUUGAACCGAUUUUGAUCGAAAGUUCGAAAUCGACAUACGAGAAUUUUCCUGCAGAAUCCAAAACUCACAAAAAUACCCAAUCGUUCGAACAUUAUAACUUGUUCGAAAUCCCAUCCUACAACCGAUUUAAACCCAGACCUGAAUUAACCCAACAAUUCGAACUAUUUUCCCCCACACCAUUUCAUUCAGCAAAGAACAAAACUCAAUCUGCCAUUGAACCACUUCAGCAUUCAAAUUCACUAAGUUCACUCUCCGAAUAUAAUUACCAUUAUCAGAAUUUGAAUGAAUUACAUCUAGAGGGUUUAUUCAAUCCUAUUAGAACCUUAGAAAACCCAUUGCAAAUGGCAUUGCUGGCUGCAAAAACCGAAUCUGCACAAGAAAUUGAAACUACAAGUGCCGAUUGAUUUCCUACAUUUUAGUCACCAAGCCCAAGGGAUUUACCUGCACCUUCAAGUCUGAUUCAAAGUUGCUCUUAGAUUACUGCAAAUCCGAAUUUGAACUCGCAACUUUCGGCUUGAAAAAUAAGCCAUUCACGCCCUCUGCCUCUCCCGUGGUCUUGCCUUCCACCAUGGACUCGCCGCAGCAUCCCAUUAACUCAUAACACUCAGCAGCGUGGUUGUGUUCUCCCACCAUUGUCAUGUCCUCUAGUUGUCGUCUCGUGCUCUCGUGGUAAUAAACCACGCCUUCAACACCGUUAUCCUCCAAGAAGAAUUGUCUCUGUCGUUCAAGAUUAUCUGUCGGGCUGUAGAACGAAGUAUUUCCGUAGACAAUAGAGAAAGGCACCUGUUUUUUCCAGAGGAAGUACUUUGAAAAUAAGAAGAAUAAGGGAAAAACUUGCUUUUGGGGAGGCUUCACAUGGGAAACAAAUAAAAUAUAAGGGAUUUUAUGGUUCUGAGCAAUUUGACAGUGCAUUCAAAGGAGAUAGUGCAUGUGAAAAAAACAAUUUGCAAUAAUAGAGAUUGGUGUCCAUCACAUAGUCAAGUCAACAGAGUUUUUGAAG
rnacentral:lncRNA from 1 species